UGAUUGGCUGGGAGGGAAAUAGCCUCUUCCGUGUAAUACCUUUGAGGCAAAGCAGAGAUUAGGGUUUGCGGCGGUCUGUAUUCCCUUCAGAGGCACCUGAACACUUGGAACUGCGUGGGAACAUGUCUUAUCUAUUUGAGGUUGAUUUUGACACUCGGCGAAUAAGAAGAACGCUUGCGGCUCCCUGAGGCGUUUUUCUUGUUCAAGAUCUGUUUGUGUUUUUUUACUCUUGUUCUGUGGGUUGGGAUCUGUUCCAUUUUGGCCAACUGUACUAUAACGUGUUUCUGGUUAUAUUGGAGUCAUGCAAGUAAAUUUUUGGUGGUUGUCUCAGUUAAAUUCUCGAAUUCUUGUCAGUGUGCUUUGAAAGCGAAUAUCUCGUUAUUCCAGCAAAUUUGCCUGGCAUGGCUCUGACUCUGAGUAUCUCAAGUCGUAUGAUGCAUAAUGCUCAGGACAAGUUGCACGGAGGCAGGCUCGUUUGCAGAAAAAGAGGUCACCAUUUUCUGUCAUGUCCGUCCUGCGGCCUCCUAAGAUCAUCUACAGUCGGCUGCCUCAACCCUCCUCCUUAAACGCCGUCAGUCACCAAUCAAAAAAAGUGAUCUAGAUGGUUGCCUCAAACGCUCGGGGCUGAUCGGCAUCCCUUGUAUUCAGUCCAAAUCUAGUACGAAUAUGAAGUGGCUCGGGAGCACAUCGGUGGCGGUCCACUCUGGCUCACCUCAAUCUCACAUAUUUGUCCCGGUUCUCUUACCGGACCAAAACCUAACCACUCCACUUUACCACCCAAGCUCCCGUCUAGCCUUGUGUCGUCCAGUGAGGGUUGGAGGAUGCUAUGGGCUAUGACCGUCCGCAUUGCCCUUUGGCGUUCCUGGGAGGACUGCGCCCGACCGAUGAGGGAUCUUUUCGGCGCGAAUUCAUUGUGUCGGCGCAGAGGACACUGGGGUAGGAUCUUCGUGGUCCGGUAUCCUCCCCAUUUCUGGGCCGUUGGAAGAAGAGGAUAAGCCCGAGGCUUGCCUUGCUGUCGAUAUGGCGGCGGCGGAUGCGGCGGCGCGCACUCUGCAUAGGAGGAAGCUCUCCGAGAGCAAAACCGGGCGGUCCGUGUCAUGGCUGGACUGCCCUCGAAAGUUGAGAAGGAAGACAUCGACGGAUCGCUCAACUCCGACUAGAUCCAUGGGCGUCUCCGACCAGUACUUCCGGGAUAAAGAUGGCAAAGGCGCUGGGAAGGGCAAGGGCAACCGUGGAUGAGCUUCUCCAUAGUUAAUACUCCCUCCGUUCAGAAUUACUUGUCUUAGAUAUGGAUGUAUCUAGAACUAAAAUACAUCUAGAUACAUCCAUUUUUGCGACAAGUAAUUUUGAAUGGAGGGAAUAUGUAGGUAGAGCAUGCCAAAGUUUGAUAGUUCGAUGAUAUGUCAUGAUGUAAUAACCGGUUGAUGUGUGUUGGCGUGUUGUUUACGUACAUUGCAUAUGUUUUGUACAAAGUUUAGAAAGGCGAUGGGCGUUACUUGUGCGUUUUGUGACCUACUUGAGCUGUGCACAGCCCGCUUAUGCGUCGCCUAGGCACGCCUAGUCGUUUCCACUGUAGCAUGAAGAAAUAAAGUAGAUGGGCUGAUCUGGCCCAUUAAACCGCUGGCCCAUCUAUUCCAUUCUCCUAGUAAAGCCUCCCAUACGUGCACAGUCGACAGAAAAUUAAGGAUCCUCCUCACGCCGCCUCUCUACUUCCUCUAUCUCUUGCUACACAUGGGAACCAGUCAGCCAGUGAAGCUCGAUUUCUCACCGGAGAUGCUUGAUUCCUCGCUGGAAUCAGUCGAUUUCUCACUGGAGAUGCUUGAUUCCUCGUUGGAAUCAGUCGAAUUCUCACCGGAGAUGCUUGAUCCCUCGCCGGAAUCAGUCGAUUUGUCGCUGGGUUGGUUGAAUCCUCGUCGGGGAGGAUGGAACUUCGCUGUGGAGGUCAAAUCCUGGCCGGGGAGAUUGAUUCCCUGCCUGAGAAACACGAUUUCUUGCUGGAGGACCUCGCUGGGCGCUUUUCUAAGCGCCUAGGGCCAAAGCGAGGCGCUAUGCCAGCGCCCAGAGCUUAAGCGUGCACAGGCGAGUGCCUAGUAGCGUCUUCUUGAACAAUGGUCUUGUAUGAAUUUAAGGUUUGCUAACUGAGAUGCCCCGUUGUACGAAAAAAACUUAAGAUGCAAUUCGUCAGUAUCCGCGAACGCGUCCGCAUGCGUACAGAGGGGCGGAUUUGUUCAAGUCCAGCUGUAGAUGCUCUAACAACUAACAUUUUCGAUCCUGAGGCACGAGGCAGUGUUUAUGUGUACAUCGGUAUUUUUUUUACCUCCCAAGCUCCGAUAAUGCAAGAAUAAUUGUAACAGAAUCCCUUUUUAUUAAAAAAGUUUUGCUUACUAUUCAUGAUCUGUCAAAAAAAUUGCAAUCAGAUUCAUAAACCACAAACACAGGAGUGAGCCGGAUAAGCUUUGUCAAUAGAAUUCAAAUGAAACCCAUCUUUCCUAUGCCCUAUCCCCUCCCCCACUUUGACCCGGAGAGCGGUAACUCAAAAUGAUGAUCGAUCUAACGACCGAAAACUACUAGACAUUGUUGCACCACAGAGAGGGCGAACCGAAGGCAACAAUACCGAUGGAUUUGAGGAUGGAGAAAGUAGAGAGAGUUGAAAUAGUCGCUAAUAGUAAUAUUGUUGUGGAAAAAUGUUUACCUGAUUUAAACCUCCCAAACCCAUCUCUGGUCGGCUCUUCUCCCUUAACACUGCGACAUCGUGAGGACGGGGCGUCGACCCGUUGACUGGGCAGCUAAGGUUGCUGCGAGUCCACCCGAGUUCGAGUCCCGGCUUAGACAUGCGGAGCUCGCAGAGUUUCUUCUAUAAGAAAAAUGCCAACGAAGAUUAACCCUUAGGUUGGUCUCAUUUUUUUUAACACUGCAACUUCGUCAUUGGCUCCAUCUUGUGUGACCCCUUUCAGGGUGAUGCGUCAUGGUGGAAAGCUAAUUUGCUAUUGCUUACAUACUGCCAGCGCAAGCCCGACGCUACAAGUCCAUGAUCCGCUCAAUGGGACAUUCACACACCUUGUGGAUCCUCCGGGUAACCAUUUGGCUGACAUUGUUUUUUGUGACUUGCACUUGGAAUGUUAUGUACGUCACACCUAAGAUCUCGCCGGUGGCUACAACUGUUGAAUUGAUUCUCUCUUCUGUGAGUGUUUUUUGACACCCCAAAUAGUGGGGUUUGAUGUUUUCUCUGUCCGAGGCUUGGAACAACAUGAAGACCCCAAGAGCAGAGCUCCGGACAACUAUUUCCCAUGAAUUUUAUGUAGCUUUAUCUUUAUCUUUAUCAAUGGUCUUCGUUGUACUCUCUUUGUUUAAUCAAAUUGAACAAUAAUAUCAAUUCAUUUCAUGUAAAAAAAGCCUCCUUUUCGAAAAAAUGUAAAAAAAAAAAGAGCCAAGCAUUAGACCACAGAAUGGCAUCUGUUUCUGAAUCCAAGUUUGAAGCGCCAAUUCAUUCAUACUGUUACAAGACAGACUGCAAAUGAAUCCAAAAUCACUAUCAAUUUCAUUGGUGACCAAUCCUUAUAUACAACUGGAGGGGACGCAAGUGAACAGGCGCGUCCGCUCGAUGGGGAGUGAGGGAACUGUCGUGACUGUCGCUAGAUUGGCAAUGCACGUGCAGUUAUACAAAGAGAGGAUUAUCUCCUUAAUUACAACAUUAAUUAAAUCCUAACACAUACAUUACAUGUGUCAAAUAUACUAGCUAGUAUAAAGCCCGCGAUUGGCUGUGGAUAUUAUUAGAUGUUUUUGUUGAGUUUAUUUCAAAUAUUUUAGGGCAAAGUGUCCGGUGAAAAUGAGUUUUCAGUGAAAAUAUGGAAAUUUGUCUUGUGGAUUGUUGGAUUGGUAGUGAAAGACACAGAUCAAAGGUGGGACUGCUAACAAUCCACUUAAACACAAAUUAGCAGAUAACCCCCAGUUCGUAUUCAUCAGCAGGGUGAAUAGCGCUUGACUCUUCGUGAGUUGUUGAGAUCUGAUUGUCUUCGAUCGUAGUGCCACCAUGCUCCUUCCAUCGGCGGUUACCCCUUGCCCUCGACCAGCCGCAACUGACACUUCGCCCGCAGAGGACAAGCACGGCGUCGUGGUCCUUGACAGCGACGACGACGACGACGCCGCCCUCGGACCGUCCAACCCGCCGCGCCAACCGGGGGAGGGAUACAGCAGGGACGGCGGAGGCGCAGGCGGGGGCGGCGACGACGACGACGACGACGGCGGUGAUUACACGCGGUUCUACAGCCUCCUCGGCAUGUAAAACCACGUGGGCGGGCGGCGAGGGAGACGGCGGGGUAGCCCGCGGAAGUUUUUUUCUUUUUUGUAAAAUAUGUUUAAGUUUGAACGAACUCUUCGAUGUUUGCAUUAAAUUUAAAUCGUUUUUGCGCCGUUUUUGACUUUGACUAACCAUGGGCGCCGCGACUGGAGGGGCAUCACAUCCCCAGUGCGCGGUUUAGCGCCGGCGCGCCCCAGAGGGCGAUUAUUUGCCCUUCCUGAAGGGCCAACGGCUGAAGAUGCCCUGACACUUCGCCCGCCGGGAUGGAUCUUUGAUAGGCGGGGAUUGGCCCUCCGCUUGACGCGUCUCUGACCAUGACUUUCCUUCUGUCCAUCGUGGUGGGGCCACUGCCCGAUCGUCGGCUGCCGGUCACCAUACACUGGAUGUGGCUCGCGCUUUGGCAACCGGGACUCAUUCUUCAGAGCACACAUCACCAUCGCACCUGGCAAUUCUUUCCCCUGACACAUUCCUCCGCAUAUUGUUUUUCUUAGGCAUCCAGAUGGAGCAUCAACCUAAAAUUCUAGCAACCAUAAUUUACUACCACCACAACAAGUCAACAAACAUACAAGCAUAGGAAUUUGUUGCAUAGUUAGCCUAGAAUGACGAGUAGGAUACACUGCUAUAACAGUGUUUCUUGUACGCAAAUUGGUUGUCACUAAGCAUUAGUGUUUAGGCCAAAUGUGACUGGAAUCACUUGUACAACAGCACUAGCUAGCUGUUACAACAGCCCUAGCUGCUACUAGGUCCUUUGCAGACUGAAAUCACUUGUACUGUAGGCUUGUAGACAGCCUGUGUAUAGCUUCUUAAUUGACAACCUCAGAAUUUCAUAUUCAACAACACAUGUCGGCCUAGAUUGUUCUUUGCCCUUGUUCAGCAGAACAAAGCUUUGAAGGAUACAAGAAAAUUCAUAUUGAGUGACUGGAAAAGAGCUCAGUAAAGAUAAUGUUGGACAGAAGUUCAGCAUAUUUAUUCAACUGAAUUCAUACACCCAGAUAUUAGAGAUAAAGAUCAUAGAUUACAGACUGCAUUGCAUGCCUUUCACAGUGUGGUUUUUAAACGGAUACAACUUCUGAAUCCAAAUUGCAUAAGUAAACCUGCUUCACCAACAAAAAGAUGCAACAUUAUACUAUUACUUCUGAAUUCAGGCUACAGAAGUAAGCAUUGGGCUGCACAAUCAGGGAGCACGCGGCUACAUAAUCAAAGCUUAGGGGUGCAGAAUUCAGCGAGUUGCCGACGUCGUCGCGUGAGGGCAUCGUCACUGCCAUCCAGAAACUGUCGCGCGGGAAAGCCUCGCGGCCACCAAGUCGUUGUUGCGUGAGGGGCAGCUGGGAGCCUGGGAGGCCGCCGCGCUGAGCCACCGUCGUAGGGGGGGAAGCCGCGGCCUCCGAGUCGCCUGUGCGUGGGGCAGCACCUCAGCCGCCAGUCGCACGAGGGCAUACCCAUGGCCAUCGAGGGGUCGAGCCACUGUCGCACAUGCGCGAGGGGCAGCCGCGCAACCGAUCCACCGUCGCGUGGGAGGCAGUUGUGGCCGUGGAAUCGCCUGACCGUGGUGCAGAACCUGAGCCACCGCCGCGUGGGAAAAAUGCCGCGCCACCGAGUCACCGUCGUGCGGUUCUGCUAAUUUUCUCUCACGGGGCAACCCAACUCUGGAGUCUGGACUAGAAAGGGGGUUAUCUGCUAAUAUGCGCUUAAGUGGAUUGUGAGCAGUCCCAUCUUUGAUCCUUGUCGUCCGGUCCAACAGAUCACGAUAGAAAUUUUCAGAUUUUCACUAAAAAGUCAUUUUCACUGGAUACUUCGCCAUAUUUUAGGCACACAGCUGCAAACUUUAAAUAUUAUUGAAGUGCAUAAACAACUUGUAAUGCUAAAUUUUGUUGCAUUAGUUUUCUUAGUGAGUUCAAUGUUCGCAUCUUUUGGAAGUUACAAACUGUCCCCGCAAAUAAAGGAACUUACAAACUGGUAAUGUGUUAAUCUAACAAUUAGUGUGGUUCUUUUCAUCAUUGUCCAAUGUCUUUUCAUCAAGAAACAUAAUUUCACCAAUAUAUGUGUCUUUCCAUGAUGUUAGCCGCCAUGAAAACGUGAUAUGUGGUCUUUUGGUAGUGCAGGUAGCAGGUUUUGCAUGGUGUCAGAACCUCGCUGAUGUAGUACACCGGGUGUUGGACCCGUUAUGCCUUUCCUUGCUCUUCCCUCUCACCGCCGUGAUCAUGCUGGUGAUUUGUGUGGUGGCGGAUACAUAUAGUAACAGUGGCUCUGAUUGUGCCAGGGAAGCCAACACCGGGUUGGAAUGUGGAAGGCACUUGAGGUAUGCAAAUGCGGCCUUUGCUUCAUCGCUCCGAUAGAACUUAUUGUUCUUGCGCAGAAGCCAGUAGAGUUGUAGGGUUUUCUCCCCGAGCCGUAAUGAGAACCGGCUCAGAGCUGCGAUGCAACCCGCGAUCUUUUGUACUUCUUGAAUUGUUUCUGGUGAUUUGAGGUUGAUGAUGGCAUGCAUCUUCUCUGGGUUUGCUUUGAUGCCUCGCGGAGAUGCGAUGAAGCCGAGGAACUAUUCGGAGGGCACCCCGAAGACAAUUUUUUUCCGGAUUCAACUUCAUGCUGAAAAGGUGCAGGUGGGUGAAGGUCUGCUCGAGGUCGAAGACGAAGUAUAGCCCAUGCCUGGCGCGCCAACAGAGGAUACGUAAAUCGUGAACUCCCCCGGUAGGGUGGUGAAUUCGGCCGGAAGUAACAUAACGGGGUUCACACGAGGGGGUUACCCAGGUUUCGGCCCUCUGGGUAAUACCCUACAUUCUUCUUCUGAUAUGUAUUCAUGGUGGAGUUUCUCAUGCAAGGGAUUACAAUGGGGGAUGAUGCAUGACUACCGUGAGUGUGUUUCUACGAGAAUAGAUGGACCUGGUCGAUCCCUACCCCCUCCUUAUAUAGACGAUGGGGGCUAGCUAGGGUUUACACAGGGAUCUAACUGACCUCAAGCCGUCGCCAUUUGUGCCUUGCACUCCAAGAUGAUCGUCGUGCUCUGGGACUUCCCUCCCCCGUCGUCGGUGUAACACCCCGGAUAUGAUUUUCCCAAUAUGUAAUCCAACUCUUGCCGUUUCCGGCGUUAAGUUAUUUUAUUUUCUCGGGUUCGGGUUUUUGUCCCCGUGUGUUGUUAUCGUUGUCAUGCAUCUCAUAUCAUGUCAUCAUGUGCAUUGCAUUUGCAUACGUGUUCGUCUCAUGCAUUCAAGCAUUUUCCCCGUUGUCCGUUUUGCUUCCGGCGCUCCGUUCUUCUCCGGUGGUCAUUUCUACCUUUCUUUCGUGUGUGGGGAUUAAACAAUUCCGGAUUGGACCGAGACUUGCCAAGCGGCCUUGGUUUACUACCGGUAGACCGCCUGUCAAGUUUCGUACCAUUUGAACUUCGUUUGAUACUCCAACGGUUAACCGAGGGACCGAAAAGGCCUCGUGUGUGUUGCAGCCCAAGACCCCUCCAUUUUAGCCCAAAACCCUCUCCAUCAUCUAGAGCGUUCGGUCAGGAUCGCGUGGCCGAAAACCGCACCUCAUUUGGACUCUCCUAGCUCCUCCUAUCCCUAUUUAAAGAUCUCACUCCCGAAAUUCUCGGAUCAUUUUCACCCUAAACCUAGCCCCCCUUCCCCUCCGCGGUCCGGACACGUCCGGUCCGCGCCGGACGAAUCUCCGCCGCCGCUCUGCACCAGUCACCACCCGCCACGUGGCGCCCCGCCGCCCCACAUCGCUGAGGCCCGCCGGGCCCUACUCCGGCCCCCGUGGCCCGCUCCGCCCGGCGCCGCCCGACAGCGCCUGCGCCCAUUCCCUCCUCGCCGCGCCGCCGCGCUCUCACCUCGCCGCCGGCCGCCAUCGCCAACGAUCGCCACCUCUGCCGCCCGGGCCACCACGUCGUCCUCCGCCUCCUUCCGUCGUCCGCCGCGCCGCCCUCGUCGCCGGCAGGGACCCCGGCAACGGAUCCGGUGGCACCGCCCCUCUCCCUCGACUCCGGCGCGUCUCCGGCGAGCCCCCUCCAACGAACCUCGAAGAACGUGCCAGAUCUAGAUUCGGAUCUGAGAGGUUGACCUAAUUUUGCCCUAAGUCCCAGUAAUUUUUAGCAUUUUUCAUCGCAUCAUAACUUUGCACCCGACAGUCCGUUUUGGGCAUAUAGCAUAUCAAAAUGUUCAUCUUAGAGAGUACAUCAUUUCAUUCCAUUGCAUCAUUUUCAUUUGAGUUCAUCUUGAUGCCCGAAAUGCUGUUAGAAGAAUGCUAUUUGAGAUAAUUGUCAGAUCUGCUGCUCCAAUUAAAUAUUUGUCAUUUUUGCCAUGAUUAUUGUGUGCAUGAUAUGCCCCUGAGCUCUACAUGUGUUUUGUUAUAUGUUUUGCCAUCUAUCCAGAGGUGCAACCCAUGUAUUUUUUUUGAUGUGUGUGGUGACUAGCACAAGCUUGCAAAGUGGUGCAUUCGUUAAUGCUGAUUUCAGAGACUUAGCAUUUCCACUAAGUCCUUGGACUGUUUAUCUCAUUAUGCCAUAUGUUCAUGUUGAUUCCUAGUGAUCCGUGCCUCUUUUGAGGAUGCUCAGUGAGGAUGUUUUGUUAAUCUUGUAGUGCUCUAUCCAUCCAUGUCUUUGUUUGCAAUUAUGGAGCACCCUAGCUUGAGUCAAUCGAGCUCUACUUUUGCUAUUUCGUGAAUCUGGGCAGAUUGUCUACUUGUUAGCGAUUUUGCCGAGGAUGUUGUAGUUGAUCCGUGCAUGCUAUGUUAUUAUUCUUGCCAUGUCUAGCUUGCACUUUGUGUAUUCUUGAUGGGUGUAUGCUUAGAUUGCCAUGACUUGCUCUGUAGUGAGUGCAUCGAGCUCGUAAACAUGCCUACUUGAUAUCUGUUUUCAUCAUGCUCCAGUUUUCACUAAGUCUGAGAACUGAUUAUGUUUUUGCCAUGUUCACAUGCUUGCAAAUAUAUUUUUUGAUCCCUUUUGGCUCAAGGUCACUAAGGGACUUUUGUUAAGCUCUUUGAGUAGCUCCAUGCCAUGCAUUACUUUGCCAUGUUCAGGUCCUGUAGCAUGUAGUUUUGUUGCUCCAAAGUGUGCUAUCUGAUCUGAAAUUCAGGCAAGUGUUAAUUUCACUAAGUCUGAGAUCUGUUUGCCAAAUGCAUUUUUGCCAUACUUGUUUGAACCUGUUAAUGGAUGAAUUGACCAUAGCUCAGUGUUCAUCUUUUGUUAAGCAUCUUGUAGGGAUCCCUGCCAUGUAUUUUGUUGCCAUGUUUGGGUGCUGUAGCAUAUUCUUAUUGUUGCAUUUAGUUGGCUACUUGCUGUAAAUCGCAGACCGGUGUCAUAUUUGAAUCACUUGCCAUUUCCAAACCGUAACUCCGAUUCCGGUGAUCUUUAUAUCAUUUUUAAGCGAUUUCAUCUCACCUUUCCAGUGGCACACUUGGAUUUCCAUGUUGAGGCCAGGUUCAUUCAUUCAUUGUCAAAUCUUGCAUAUGCAUCCCAUAUCACAUCCCGCAUAGCAUACCAUGUUUGCAUCAUAUUGUUUGAGCUUUGCACGUGGUUGAUUGUGUCCUUGUUGCUUGUUUGUCUUGUUUGGGUAGAGCCGGGAGACGAGUUCGCUAACGAGGAGCCCGUUGAGUUUGCUUUUGAGGAUCCAGUCAACUCUAACAACUUUGCAGGCAAGAUGAUCAUACCCUCGAAAUCACUACUAUCUUUGCUUUGCUAGAUGCUCGCUCUUUUGCUAUGCCUAUACUACGAUGCCUGUCACUUGCUUAUCAUGCCUCCCAAAUUGCCAUGUCAAACCUCUAACCCACCAUGUCCUAGCAAACCGUUGAUUGGCUAUGUUACCGCUUUGCUCAGCCCCUCUUAUAGCGUUGCUAGUUGCAGGUGAAGAUUGGAGACCGUUCCUUGUUGGAACAUUAUUUACUUGUUGGGAUAUCAUUAUAUUGCCAUGUUAUCUUAAUGCAUCUAUAUACUUGGUAAAGGGUGGAAGGCUCGGCCUCUCGCCUAGUGUUUUGUUCCACUCUUGCCGCCCUAGUUUCCGUCAUAUCGGUGUUAUGUUCCCGGAUUUUGCGUUCCUUACGCGGUUGGGUUAUAAUGGGAACCCCUUGAUAGUUCGCCUUGAUUAAAGCUUUUCCAGCAAUGCCCAACCUUGGUUUUACCAUUUGCCGCCUAGCCUCUUUUUCCCUUGGGUUUCCGGAGCCCGAGGGUCAUCUUAUUUAAACCCCCCGGGCCAGUGCUCCUCUGAGUGUUGGUCCGACCGAGUAGACUGCGGGGCCACCUCGGGGCAACUUGAGGGUUGGUUUUACUCGUAGGAUGUCUCAUCUGAGUGUGCCCUGAGAACGAGAUAUGUGCAGCUCCUAUCGGGAUUUGUCGGCACAUUCGGGCGGUGUUGCUGGAUUGGUUUUAACUUGUCGAAGUGUCUUGAAGAACCGGGAUACCGAGUCUGAUCGGAACGUCUCGGGAGGAGGUCUAUUCCUUCGUUGACCGUGAGAGCUUGUCAUGGGCUAAGUUGGGACUCCCCUGCAGGGAUUUGAACUUUCGAAAGCCGUGCCCGCGGUUAUGGGCAGAUGAGAAUUUGUUAAUGUCCGGUUGUAGAUAACUUGAACCUUAACCUAAUUAAAAUGAAUCAACUGUGUGAGUUACCGUGAUGGUCUCUGCUCGGCGGAGUCCGAAAAGUGAACACGGUGUUGGAGUAAUGCUUGCCACAGGAUGCCCUCUAGUUACUCGCUCGCGCUUUGCCUCCUUUUCUCGCUCUCUUUUGCGAACAGAAUAGCCAUCAUAUAUGCUAGUCGCUUGCCGCAGCUCCACAUAUUUCCCUUGCCUUACCUAUUAAGCUUGAAUAGUCUUGAUCGCGAGGGUGCGAGAUUGCUGAGUCCCUGUGGCUCACAGAUUACUUCCAAACCAGAUGCAGGGCCAGAUGACGCACUUGAGCUCAAGUGGGAGUUCGAUGAGGACUCACGCCGAUACUACGUGUCUUUCCCUGAUGAUCAGUAGUGGUGCCCAGUUGGGAUGAUCGGGACCGUGUCGCAUGUUGGGUUGAUCUUUUAUUUUGGCGCCGUAGUCGGGUCAUGAGUGUUUGAAUGAUGUAAUGCUAUUUAUGUACUUUGAUUGACGUGACGAGUGUAAGCCAACUAUGUAUCUCCCCUUUUAUUAUCUAUAUUACAUGGGAUGUUGUGAAGAUUACCUAACUUGCGACAUUGCUUUCAAUGCGGUUAUGUCUCUAAGUCGUGCCUCGACACGUGGGAGCUAUAGCCGCAUCGAGGGCGUUACAGUCGGGUUCCCCCCAAGAUGAUUGUCGUCCUGUGGUAGGCGUGUUGUUGUGCUUCCCUCGGUAAGCCACCCCGGUGUAUUGCCCCAUCAAACAACAACAUGUUUAACUCGCAACAACAUGUGUUUUCUAUGUUGAGACGGAGGACCAAAGACAGCAACAAGCUUGCGGCACAGAGUUUUGCUCAUGGCUCUGCCGGUGAAUGCAGUAGGAAGAAGACUUCGACACCCAAAAUUUUGGAUGUAUUUUCAAAUUUCUUUAUUAGUGUUUUUAAGGGUUUAUGAUAAUUAAUAUAUGGCCUUUUUCGUUCUCGCAAAUGAAAAAACUUCCAUUAACAACAAUAUCUUGCUCAAUGUAAUGUUGUGAUUUAAAAAAAAGGUGUAAGUAUUAACACUAUUAGUACAAUAUAACAUUUCCAAUUUGUAUGCGAGUUUUACCAUAAAAUACCUUUCCAGGUUGUAAAAAACUAACGGGGUUGUAGGCCUUCCCUACAAAAACUAACAGGGUUGUAGAUUUGGGGUACAAUACGAUACCAUCCUGCCCGCAGAUCCGAUCUUUCGGCCUCGCGACGACUAGCGGCUCGCGGGCGGUUCCUUCCGGCCACCGAUCGACCAUGCCGACGUCGAUACCGAACGACGUCGUCUCCGAGAUACUCUCCUGGGCGCCGGUAAAGUCGGCGUGCCGGUUCCAGUGCGCGUCCAGGGGGUGGCGAGAGCUCAUCUCCGACCCUGCGUUCGUCGCGGCGCACAAGGCCCGCACGGAGCCGCAGCUCCUCAUCGUCGCCAACUCCUUCCACGGCGUGGCCAGCGGAGGGCGCCGCCGCCGCCGCGACCUGCGGCUGCUGGACACGGACGGCAGCGUCGUGAGGGAGGUCAAGUCCGCAGGUGACCUAUGGACCAUCAUCUCCGGCCCCCGCGGCCCCGUCUGCGCCACCCGCGUCGGCCGCGUCCUCAACGUGAUCGAUCUGGCCACCGGGGACGUGCUCGUGACCUCCACGGAGAUGGGCGACAGUGGCGGAGCGUUCUGCACCUUGGGCAUCGGCUAUGCUGCCCCGUCGGGCAAGUGCAAGGUGGUCCGCCUCAUGACCACGUUCAGUCAUGGUCAUCAGCCGGAGCACACCUGCGAGCUUCUGGCGUUGGAAGACGGCGCCAGAGGAUGGAGGCGAAUGCAGUCACCACCAAUUGCAGACUAUUUCGGCCUCCACAAAAACUCUAUGGUCACCAUAGAUGGUAUGCUAUACUUCCUUUACAGCUUGUCGCCACCGCGAGUGGGCGGGGACUAUGUCCUCCGCCUUGACCUCGAGACCGAGCAAUGGAUGAGGUCCAUCAAAGCCCCAAAGAUGAGAUCGACGAUGCCCCGUAUGGUCGAGCUCAAUGGAACCCUUUGCAUGGUUCACUCGGAGGGACGCCGGACCAAAAAUGCUUGCACGACCAUAUGGCUCCUGUCUGAUUUGGCCAAGGGCACCUGGGUCAAGGCGUAUGUGAUCCCGAUGCCACAUGCCGUCGAUCUAGUGAUCGCUCUGAGGAUGAUGCGUCAUGGUGGAAAGCUAAUGUGCUAUUGCUUACAUAAUGACAGAGCAAGUCCGACGCUACAAGUUUAUGAUUCGCUCAAUGGGAUAUGCACACAGCUCCCAGAUCUUCCGGGUAACAAUUUGAGCGACGUUGGUUUUUGCAACCUGCACUUGGAAUGUUAUAUACGGUCCACCUAAGAUCUCACCGGCGGCUGCCAUCGGCCCCUCUUGAUGCUGUAUUGCUGUUCAUCGUCCGCCAGCAGGGAGUCACCCCAUGCUCCGCCUCUACAUCUCUAUUCACGGCCUCCACCCCUUGCCGAUGGUCUGCCACUACCACCGUGAGAUCCCGGGCGCACAUCGUGUCUCCUAACUCCUAAGUACUGCGGGCUAUCAAGUGGCAGCAGAUUAAAAAGCCUGUAUCUGGCGAACGGUUUCAUCUUUAUUUAUCUCAGAUCUGGUUUAGUUCCCAGUCGUUUCGUGGAUAUAUUUUUUCAUGGUUUGGUUGUGUCCAACGAUCUCCUGUAUACAAUGGUUCAGUUGUGAAUUCGAUAGUAGUGCUAAAUUCAAGCGCUCAUGAUGUCCUGACUGCGACCUAAUACCUAUAUGCUAUGAUGAUAUAAUCAUUUUUUCAGUUGGAUAUUUUUAUGUUCCGAAAAUAAUCUGCUAUUCAGAUCUGAAAAAGCGGACAAUCUAUGUUUUCUUGGAAAAUAAUCUGCUCCAUCACCUUGAGUUUUUCCUUUAUUUUCUGAAAAAGCGGACAAUCUAUUUUUUGUCAGGAAUUGCUUAAAUGAAGAGGUUACCUUCCUAUUUUCUUGUUGCUUAAAGGAAGAGGUUAAAUAUUCUCUAGUACGAGGCCUUUAAAAAAAUACAUAAUUGUAAGUGGUAUAGGUUGGUUCCUCCUUACAAUAUUUGAGGCUGAAUCUAUGUUUUUCUACAGUUAUUACUCUAUUUUCCCGUUCAAAUAUCAAUGUACUAUAGAAUCAAUUUUGUUAUAUAUCCAGAUUUUGGUGAAUUGUCCAAAAUUCAUUCUAUAGUUUAUGACCAUAGAUGUAGCGGACCAAUCUUUGUACCAAAAUAUUGCCAGUAACAACAAGAUGUUGAGGUCGCAUUAGAACAAAACCAAAAUGCACAAGCCUAAGAAUAGAACCAUUUGUACACACCAUCUCUCAAAUAAGACUAGAAGGGUGACGCGCGCUUUGCUGUGUCGUGUUCAUAGAGGAAAUGGAAGGUAAUUCUUAGUUUUUGACCCUCAGCUUUCACAAAGCUCUUUGGUUCAUCUAACCAAAGUUAUAAGCAUAAUUCGGUGGAAACAUGUAGUAACUAGCUACAGUGAUUGACUGGCAUAAGUUGACAUAUUAACUUAAGUAAUUGAAUUGCAUCACAACCAUUCAGGAUUUAACUAGCAACAUUUGUACAAUACACUGGCAAAACAACAUGUUGAAUGGAGUUAAUUGGCAUGGAAAGGGCGAUCUUGUCGAUGCGCAACGAGAAACAACAUAUGCAAGAGGAUGAUAAUCAUGUCGAUGGUUGAUUUUGGAUGUCGUCUAUUAAACCUGCAGCAGAUACAAUUUGAAGAACUCUGGUCACUAUUGAGACAUGCAAAUUUAGUUGAAGUAUGUGUUUGGAUCGUUCUCACUAGCAAAUAAAAGGUAAUACAUGCUUAGAGGGAUAUAAAUACAAAAGUGCGUGUUGACAAAAAUUAUUUGGAACUAAUAAUUUGUGGCAAAUCCCAAGGAUGGUCAAUUUAGGUAAGAUAGCUUAAAAUAAACUAGAAAUUAAAACCAUACAAACCAGGACUAGUCCUUGAUGGAACUUUUUGAUGAGCAAAAGCAUGCACCCAGUGGAGGCCGAGCCUUUAACAUGAGUCAACACGCUGCACAAAUUAUAGCCUACUCUAGCUAGACAACUAGUUGAUGCCUAGGUAUUUAACCUGGAAACCAGAAUACAUAUGCAAAACACGAGGGCUUGACCAUUAAAGAACAUUGUAAUGAAAAAGGGAAACAAAGGUAAGGAAACCCGAAUAAAAAUAUUGUCUUUUAUCAUUCACUCCACCAUUCAGCUUUUAUUUCUAACAAAAUAUGAGGGUGUGGACACACAAAUGUCGUGGGAAUAUAGCAUUAGAAUGAGCUACUAAUCGAAAUACAUGCACAACUUAAACUCUACAAUUGGGAUGCCAGUGCCACAUUUCAACCACCAUAAACAUGUAAAGCAAUGAAAGCUUGAUAUUAGGUUUCAAAGAAACUUACAAGAAUUAACAUUUAUAUCUUUGUACUUCAUGUAGGAGGAUGCUAAUCAUAAAUGACAAAAAACAUACUCACCAGAGCUAAGAUAGACAAAGCAUUCUGAUGAACCAUAGGUCUCGAAGACGUUGUAUAUUUUAGUGCGUCUAGUGUUACUUGAUGAGACCUCCUGUGUGAGCCUCACAAUAAUUUUUUUAAGCUUUGGUGCAAAUACAAGUAGUUUUCUCAGUAAAUCAAACUCAUGAUCCACUCCUUCAAAUCCAUUGAUUUCCACUUCUUCAAGAGCAGUCAAGGAGAUAGCUUGGGACCUCCAGUUUGUGGACUCACAGGGACAAUCCGUUGGGCAUUCUUCUUUUACCUAGGACCGAAAAGUAAAUGUAAACUACUACACAUCUAUUAUUGAGAUAUUGUUAGAGCAGAAAAAUAAUUACCACUGAUCUUAAUAGGAUGAUCUUAAGCUUCUGAAGUGAACUAGAAAUUUGAUCAAUCUGAAGGAGAUAAAACACGAGUGCUCCAAAAACAUGUCCAUCUGUUUUGAGAUCUAGCUCCAAAAGAGAGAAGUCAACAACCAUAUGCUUCUCUAUCUCCUGUGCAAAGUUGGGCUCAUAGGGGAAAAGUGACGAGUCCUGAAAAACAAUUUUGCAAGAUCUAUGUAAUUCAUAAAUUUUAGUUAGUAUAAUAUUCCAAUAAAUUAAGUAGGAGAGGGGACUUACUACACUUGCACGAAUAUGCAACAAAGGGGGUUGUCCUUGUCUAUCUGUCGCCUGCAACCCCAACAACUCGAGAUACCAAGGACCAAACACAAUAGAUUCCUCUGUGUAGCAGCAGUACCACCAGACAUUCUCCAUAAUUGGUGCCAAGACCGAAAUGUUGACCUCCAACAUCACUGUAAGGAGAAUCUCCAAUUUCUUAAGCAUGGGGGCUACAAUGUUGACAUGUUCUGUCGAGAAUGGGUUCACAAUAAGCUCCUGCAGCGACGGCGAAUUCACCCUUAGAUCACACGUCUCAAAUAAAAUGCCGCUGAGGAGGAGGGUGCCCAAGCGCGGGCAGCAUGAGAGCAAGGCAUCGAGGUUGCCAUUGCAGUGCAGUAGGGACAACGUCUCGAGCACAGGAAACUCGACGCCGACUGGCACAGAGCGAAUGUAUACAUGGUCCAGCAUGAUGUAGGUGGUGUGGCGGAAGCAAGGCAAAUCAAUGAUGAUGGACCUUCCUAAUAGGCCAAAGCUUGAGGGGAAGGAAGCAACGAACUCCUUCGGCUCAAGUUCCGCGGCGACGGACAACAACGAGUUGACUUGUGCGGUGCUCGCUAUGUCCUGCUGGGGGGCAUGGAUUUCCAACAGGGAAACUGCAGGAGGAAAAGAGAUCUGGCCGAGUGCUAGUUCGAUCGAGUCGAACACGACCUCGCGAAAGAUGAUUUGGCGGAGACUGGCCCAGAGGCCGCGCCAUCGCCGUGAGAGGAUGCUUGUGCGCACCGCAACUCCGAUCCAGGGGAGCUUGGCAAGGAUGAGGAGGAGUAGAUCAUCGGGAAGGAUGCUGAUGCGAUCUGGAUCUGGGAAACCUAGGCGACACCUAGAUCUGAACUCCAUCGGAGCUUUUGCAAAACACCACCGUUCCCCCUCCAAUGAGAGGGGUGGAGGGACGAAAUAAGACAGAGGUGAGGAAGCCGGGGAGAGGUGAGGAAGCCGGGGAGAGGUGAGGACGCCGGGGAGAGGUGAGGACACCAGGGAGAGGGGAGGGUGGGGAAAGGGGGCAGUAGUGGUGGUGUUUGGUGGGGUCGAGAGGGUGGGUGGCGAUGGAGAUUUAGUGGUGUGUGGUGGUGUCAAUUUAUUUGAGGAAAGUUCCUUAUUUGAUAAUGGUAAAAUUAUGGAUUCCUUAUUUGACCCUAGAGAUUUCAAACUUCGUUGUUUGAAGCUAGGUCUAGAUUUCAUUCUUUAAUACGACACUACUGACAUGUCGGAUUUUUGUUUGAUGGACAAAAUUACCCCUUGUUGUAUGUGGGCCAGCCCUGCCACUCGUCCCCUUAAUACAUGCCUCUCUCCCAACUCUGCCUUAUUUGGAAUGUUCUCAUAUGGAUCGUCUCCCCACACCUUGCAAAGUGGUAAUAAAUAGCUUGGCCUUCAAUCAGGCCUCACAUGCCCUGGCCCUCCAGCCAAAGUAGUGUUAAUUGUGUUAUGCAGUUCAUAUGUGAUGCCUGCUAUGAAGUGUGCUGCUUUUGGGUAGUAAGUCAACCAAAUUUAAAAGGGCGAGCAAAACAACUACGUGCACAUAGACAAACAGGUGGGGUUUGCAUCUGCUCACCCCUAAAGCACAAAUGCAGGCCACCAAAUAGCAUAACUAAUUUGGCAACCGAUGCAGUGUAGGAUACCAAACGAUUGAACAACAUGGUAUUGAGCUUGCAUUAGCUAAGGCAGGCCCGGUUGAAUCACACAUACAAGGGGCCAAAAAACGACGCAUGAUACCAAAAACACCACAAGUGGAGGAAGCAUUUCCCUCUCCCCCCCGUCCAAUCUGCGGAGCCCGUGCUGUCUCGUGGCGGCAUUCCAACAACUCUCAUAUGAACAACAUACACUACAAAAAAAGACACAUUCGUGAUAUUAUGGCCCGAACAAAAAAAGUUUAUGUCAUGGUUAUUACACUUCUGUGAUGAUAAUUAUGACAAAACCACGUAGCAUCAUCGAUGUGGUGGGCUCCUAUUUCUAUGACAAAAAAUCAUGACAGAAAAUAGGCUUUUCAUCCUAGGCGGGCCGGGGACGCACCUGCACUUCAGUUGGUAUACAACCUUGCUGAGCUAGCGCUGGAAACAGAAUUACCAGUACUACAUCCUCCCUCAGUUGAUGCUUCUCUCCUAGUCUUCCUCACGGCCGGGGUGGCCUCAUCAUGUUCAUCAUGCCUCUUCCGUGUGUUUUCUUCAUCUCUGUUUCAUAGAGAAAAAUUGUUAUAAUUUCGGGAUUAAUUCAGGAGUUGUAUUUUAUUAUCAUUGCCUUCAUGUAGUAAGUUCACUAGUGAAGUUUAUUUAUCUACUCUAAAUGAAUAUGCAUAAGGCUGUGUUUGACAACAAGGUAUUGCAAAAACUGUAGUAUUGGAAAACUGCGGUAUUUUAAACUAUAGGUACUAGAUACCACAGUUUUCACAUAUCAAAGUAUUUUGAAGUGUUGAGAAUACUUUGACGUGUUUGGUUGGUACUCAUUUACAACGACACAAAUUAGCUGCAUAGCUGUUUCAUAGAAGUUGCAACAUGGACGUUCUUAGCUGGCCUUGCAAAAUGAAUGGCCAUGCUCGCACAAACAGACCAGGUGGCAUGCCUGGGCAUCAGCGGCGGCUGGAGCGCAGCAACGCAAAACAGAAUAUUGGCCGACGCUAUGGCUUGGCUACUGCUUGGCUAACAUAGGCGCAUAGUGGCGAGCCGGCUAGGACGGUGAGCGGAGGCACGGGCGACGGUCGGGAGAAGUGCAUGCGUAGACAACAGUGCCUUGUGGACUCGCGUUGCAGCCAUCAGCACAACCAUGGCUGGCCAGCUUACUGACCAGAUGCAUGCACGGGGCGUAGGAGGAGAGAAGGAGGAGUGCAAGCGGAAGUAUGACGGGGCGUAGAUGUCAAACAAGCAGCGGCAGCGGCGCUUGCAGCGAGGAAGCUGACGAACAUAUUUGUUUUCUUCGCCAGCUCUGUUUUUAAAAAAGAGGUCGGAGGUUCUUUUUUUAAUACAGAGGAAAUAUUGCGGUUUUGGCAAUACUGCAGUUAUAAAUACCAUAGUUUUUUGGGUUGCCAAACAAGUCACAGUAAUUAAAACCGUAGUAAUUGAGAAAACUGCAGUAUUCCUAUAAUACUUAGAAAAAACUGAGCUACCAAACGGGGCCUAAAUGUUGGAGAAAUAAAUUCCAGAAAUAAGAAUGAUGCAGAUCAGCUACCAUUUGCAAUUUGGAUUUCAUCACAUGCCUUAAGUACAUUAUAUAGAAAUGUACACUUUGCACUUCAAGGCAAAACAGUUUAUCCGCUGACACUAUGUCAUUUUGCUUUUGGCGAACCUGUAUGAAAAUAUGACUAUUUUAAUACACUAAAGUGGACAUUUAUGAAAACGACAGGAGAACCUUUUGCUCAAAAUCCUCUAAUCACUGAUGUAUUCAAGAUAAGAAAGUGAUUUUUCAUCAUAAUUAGUUAAGCCCAGUCCCGAUUUCUGAAAACAUAAGAACUCAUACAGAUGGGGCUGUGAUAAUUGGGAAUACUGAUAAAAUAGUUGUGGCCAUGAAGCUUCUGAAGCAAAUCACAAGUAAAAGUUAGCCACAUAUGUAGUUUACAAAACUUUGUUGUAAGACCUCUAUUUUUCAGCUCUGAUUCGAGUUAACUUGGCUUCUGAAAGAUUUUUAAGCACUUACUAGAUAGCUUCACACUUGACUUGGGUAUAAUAAGUUUCAGAGUUCACACACGAAGUCCUAAAGAUUCAGGGCUAACAUUCAGCUCUGAUUCGAAUUCAGAGUUCAGGGUACAAAAUUUACACAACGGUUACUGUUUCCAUGCAUGCGUGACUCGUUCAGAUUGUUUACAUCCAAGUGAAGAUCCAACAAAAUGUACAAAAUUGAUUAAAGUACCAGAUGCUGUCAGUUUAUUCAAAUCUAUUGCUUAACUUGCAAGCUUCAAAAAAGAUUAAAGUAGGAGCUUCCCUGAGUAAAACUCACGCCAGCAUCAGGCCAUACUUGUCACAGAAGCCUUCUGAAUCAUGUCAGCAAAGUCAUAGCCGCCAUGUUUCAUCUUGUUUCCUGGGAGAAGAAGAAAAAACACCAUCCAGUUUCAGCACAUCUUCACCUGGAAGAAGGAAAACAGCAUCCACAUUCAGUUAAUUAGUAUGCUCCUAUUGCCCAGUCACUUUUUUUCUUGAGGGAAACUCGACGUCAUCUCACCUGGUGGUAAGCCACUUCAUGAUCGAUCCAUUCCCAAUCCCCUUGCUGACAUUUCAUUAAUCUUGUUUCUAUAAUUACAACAAGCACCAGAGAAGGGACACGCAGCUGAUCUUUAAAUCACAUUUCUUCACCAAUAUAGCAUGGACCUCUCCUUUGCCUUACGUGCUACAAGCACACACCAGAGAUCUCAUUUCUUCCAACUUCUACAGCCUCACAUCAGGAACAAACAAAUGUGCACCCAUCCUCACACAGGUUGGUUCAUACACUGAGGUACAUAGUAAAUCCUAUGUAUGAAAUUCUGCAAGACUCUAUACUACAUGGCAUCCCAUCCGGCUUUUCUUCAUUUUCCUUUUACCACUUUCCAGAUAGAAAUUUGCAAAAAUGAUGGUACAUAAGACCCACUAAACAAAUAUUCUAAGGGAUAAAGAUGCCCUCACUACCUAUACGGAUAGUGUUAUUACGGAAUAAAAUUAGCUAAAGAUAUAGCAGAAAUUAACAUGGUAAUGCUACAACCUUUUUUUAAGGUUACCAUAACAUAAGUUCCCUUGUUGCAUGAAAUGCCCUCUGUUUUUCAGCACCAUGGCAUACACACAUCAGUUUGCUUCUCCAGUAGAAAUACAAGGGCAUUAGAAAUAUCUGUUUACGUAGUGAUAGACAAGUAGGCCAUCAAUAGAAAUGUGACUAGCCCCUAGAAAAGUAUCACCCAGAAGGCCAUCCAAAACUAAAAGGGAAAAUAAACAAAAAUCGAUACAAACUACUAGUCAACAAUGGCCUGCUUAGAAUAACUAUAUCAAAACUGCAUUCUCAGCAGUGAUCAGCACCUUGUGGCCAACUGACCAUCAACAAAUCCAAAAUUGUUUCACACAGAAAAAUUAGUCCAAAAUUUCCAUCCAAAGGAAAAUUUGAGACUUCAUAUCAUCUUCAUGGCCAAAAUGAGAACAUUCUUUCAUGGAAAGAUAGAUUGAGGAUUGCAUUGAAAACUGCAACAGCCAUUUUAGAACAUAAAGAUACAGAGUGUGAAGAAAUACUGCUCAUUCAUACUUCAAAGCACUUGAGGGAUGCUCUGAUCUCUCACUCUUGGUUCCAAUAUGUGUGUCAAUAUGAGUAAGGCCAAGUCAUAGUAGUGCGAUGCUUUCUUCUUGACCGAAUGACAUAAUGCACAUACCAAUUUUCAUACCGGUCUUGGUAAUGUAAAUAUGAAUCUCGCAGGCACUUCCCUCUGCAAGUUGCUGAGUAGUCUUCGACAAGGUGUGGUGCAGCUUCCUUGUGAGGGCAUAUGUACUUCUUCAUGAAAUCGUUAUUGCUCACUAAAACUGGAGAAUAGUAGUCCCGGUCGUGGUUGAGCAAUCCAUUUUCCUUGAGAAACUUUACAGCGUAAUACCGGGGGCCUGAGCCGGCCCUCCAGGCUGUAAGUGAGCACUGCCGGCCGACGAGCAAUGUAUGCCGGUUCCAAGCCAACCUCGGAGAUGAGGAACUCAGAGCUACGCUGCAACAAUGUACAGCGGGUCCUUGGCGACGAGGGCGGCGACGUCGGCGCCGGAGAGGCCGAGGCCGGCGAGGAAGGCGAGGACUUUGUCGGGCUUGGAUGGUGAUUUGAGGUGGGAGAGCUUGGCGGAGGCUUUGACGGCCUGGGGUCGGGUGAGGCCGCAGGUGGAGACGAGGUACUCCUCCACGGCGAAGCCAGGGCCUGGGGAGAUGGCGGGCGCCGCGGUGGCGAGGAGGCGGCGGACAGGGGAUGCAUGGGAGGUUGCUGGACAUGAGAGGAGAUGGGCGAGGACGCGGUUACGCACCCUGGGCAUGGCGCCGCGUCGAUGGAACGACGGCGGCCUGGUGCGAGAGCGAGAGGAUUGGCGUGGUCUGGUCUGCUUCGACCUUGGAGAUGACAAGGUGACCCCACGCGUCACUCGCUCCUCUGAUAAUGGGCUGGGAUGGAGUCACUCGUAUACACGAUUAUACCUGGCUAAAUGGGCCGGCCCGGCCCGGCUAGGCUUACACGGGCCAGGCACGUAUAAUACACGGGCCGUGCCUGGCCGGCGCGCGUGCUCGCCUCUCCGGCCCAGGCACGGCACAACAGCCUCACGGGCCGGCACGCUGGCCCGAUUAGCACGGCGGCCCGAGUGGCACGGGAAGGAGCGAGCAGCCGAGCGCCUCGUCACGAGGGGCGAACCCUAUUUGACGCUCGCGUGCGUCCAUGUGCUCCGCUUCCGCUGAAGCGCACCAGCGAGCAGUGCAAACGGGCCGGCCCAUUUCGUGCGUUGAAGCAGGGCCAGGCAAACGGUUUUGGGAACCUUCUAGAGGGUUCCCUGGACCGAUUUUUUUCAUGUUUUUUUCCUUUACUGGUUUUCUGUUUUUCUUGUUUUCUUCUGUUUCUGUUUUCUAUUUAUUUUAUUUUUUCUUUCCUUUACUUUUAUGUUUUUUCGUUUUUAUUUUCAUUCUAUGUUUUAAGAAAUGUUCGAAAUUCCAAAUUUUGUUCAUGAUUUCAAAACUUGUCCACAAUAGUAAAAAAGGUUUUUAUAAAAAAAUCACAAUUGUUCAGCAUAUAUUACAAAAAUGUACAAUGUAUAUAUAAAAAUUGUUCAACAUAUAUCACAAAAAUGUUCAAUUUCUAUUUAAAUAUUGUUCAGCUUAUAUCACAAAAGUGCUCAUUGUGUAGUUAAAAAAUGUUCAGUGUAUAUUUACAAAAAAUAUUUUAUGUAUAUUUAACAAAAUAUUCAGCGUAUAUCACAAAAAUAUUCAAUGUGUAUUUCAAAAUUGUUCAGUGUGUAUCCAAAAAUGUUCUUUAUCUAUUUAAAAAUUGAACGUUGUAUAUUUACAAAAAUGUUCAAUGGUUGAAUUUUUUUUGUAUUUUUUCUGGAUCUGUCACGGCAUUGAGUUUAAAUAAAAUUGCGCGAUCAACUAACCAAAAAUACUUAGUAGCUCAACUGGUGAAGAACGGUUACUCGUAUUUAAUAAAGUAGCCUCUCGCUACAACGCCAUCGAAUGGGCCGGCCCAUUCAGUUCGCGCCUGCGCGAAAGUUCGUCCUUUUGACGCUAACGAGCGUCAGCUAGGGACUCCCCCUUUAGGGGGCAUUUAGCGCCGGUUCGUGGUAUUGGCACCUACGCGCCUGCGUACUGGGCCGGCCCAGGUUGCCUUCUUUCGCUCCUCCCGCACACCGCCUCGUUCGCUUGUUUCUAAAGUAGUAAGUAUGCACGUGCAACUCACGUCUCAAUCAAACCAUGUCAACUGUUCGGGUAUAAAUUUUUGAAUUCAAGGGUGAACAACUUCUCCAUAGAGAAUGUAAGGGCAUAGCCUAUUUAGUCUAUUCCUACGAAGAUUUUAGAAUGUUUAUUUUCUUGGGCAAAAAACAAAGGAACAUAUAAAUAUUGUCUAAGUGAACAUGGCGUCAAUGCAAAGUUGGAACAAAGAUACACAAAAAAAUAGGAGUCUUGACAGAACUAAAUUAGUUUUCUCCUUGGAUUUGAGUUGCUUGUUAUCUUCAAAAUUUGAAGGCUCGGCGGCUGCGGUAAAGCAACCCAUGGGAGCCAUAGCAUUCACCGCUACGAGCAGGAAGGGUUGGAUUUUUUUUUUGCAUCAUUCUCAAUUUAUCUCAACUUCUCAUGGAGUGCCACUACAGUUUAGACAAAGAGUAUCUAUUGUGUAUAUAGUUGCAGAACAUCUAGAAGCUAAAAACAGAUCAAUAAAGCGGUAGGUUCAUGGUAAGGAAUUGGAGAGAGUGAAUUUGGCAUUCUCUAUGACAUGGAUGGCAUGCAAGCAACCCUUUUUCUACCCUAUGCUUAGUUCCGAUAAUAUUAAACAUGAGUUGAAAAUGUCACCGUGCAGAAAGGCUACUAUUCUAGAAUGGGAAACUAUACAAUAUAAAGAAAUUGGGCAUGUGCAGGUCAAGGACUAUAAUAAUUAUUGUUCUGCAAAGCUAACCAGGACUUGAAAAAGAAUCCACACAAAGUUUAGGAUGACCAAAGCCACUCAAAGACCACCCUAUCUAAGAUGAACAUACAAGAAAUCAUACUAAAUUAAUACCGGAUACACAAAUAAGUUUAAUGGCUAAAAUGAAGGAUAUGCGUAAUGUCAUGGCGCUUUUAGUUAUUCAUGCACAAAUCCAACAGUAAGCAUGAUCUGAUGAAAGAAACAAAGAUUCAAAGUUAUCAGUUGACAAAAUGUGUUGAAAAAAUAUUGACUAUGCGAAAAAGAAAUUAAUAGAAUGUAGGCUUUCUGCACAAUUCAACAGCAAGCAUGAUGCGCCUUAUUAGGGGAAAAGCAACUACAUAAAAUCUCGGUAAAUUUAAGAAGAGAGAUGUUGCUAAAAUUUGUUAAAAGAUGUUACCCAUGCUUGGAAAGGAGUCAAUUGCAGUAGCAGUUGCAUAAGAGAUGAUGCACUGAUAUCUUGAAAAGCUUUCUUGCUUAUUCACACUUCCUGAGUUCAACAUAAAACAAUCAGGAUUUGACAAUCUAGUUGGUUGUAGCCGAUUUUCCAUGUGAAUGUUUUACCGAAAUGUUGAAGCUCAGCAAUGUUUUUUCACGGUUCAGUAGCUCAGUGUAAAAUAAUUAUGUGGCUGUCAAGUCUCCAUCCCAUGUUAUUUACAAUCUCAAACGAUGAAAGCUUGCUUUCUACAGUUCACCAAAGGUUCGAAGUUACUACUUUUUACUCAAAGAUCUGAUGUCUACUAAUCUCUCUCAAUCUUGUGGCUGAGAUUAACAUAAUUGUAGAAAGCAACAUCAACUCAAAUUUUAGUCUGCAUUGGAAACCACCAAACAAUUUCCAGCAAGAUGCUUUUUUGAAGAACAGAGGGAGUAUAUGACUUCCAUUUUUCUAGGAAUAAUGCAGGUAAACCUAUACAUAUAUAUAUAUAGGGUCGCACUAUUUGUCACCCUGGGUGAGGAAUAUUUAUUCUUCACCCCCCUUUAUUUUACCAUCAAUGCACCGUAAUUUAUGUUCCGUAAGUUUUGUCUUAUUUUCGACGUAAAAAGGGAUCAUAAAAAUGUAUAAUCGCCGUAAAAAAUAUUUUAUGUUACGUAAAAUUAUAAACGUAAAAACAUAGUCUAAAAUACACGUAAACUGCAAAUUUUUUUGUCUUAUGACCUACAUUUUUAUUUUUCUUAUGUCAAAUUUUACGUAGUGAAUCAAUAGGAAUAUAACUAUUUGAAUUCCAAACGUAAUUUAAUUAUGAAAUGGUCAUAAAAUUACCUAGGGUAAAGAAUAACUUAUUUUGCACCCUGCGUGAUGAAUAGUAACACUAUAUAUAUGGCAAAGUAUCAAGUGAAAACGCUCGUUAAGUGAAAACUGGAAACUAUCCUCGCACGCCAUUGGAUCGAGGACGUACGGCGUGGACCAAAGGUGAAACCUAACCAGGCACUUAACCCCUGUUUUGCAGCUAACCCCCUGUCCUUACGUCCUUGCUUGGUACCGAUUCACCCAAGAGAAAAUAAAGAAUCGUGCUCAAUGGAGCUCUAGCUCUAGCUCUCCAACGGCCGCCCCGUCCAGCAGCUCUAGCUCUCCGCCUGCCGUGAGCCCCCGUCCUCCACCGGCGACGGCCGUGAUCCCCUGCCCGCCUGCCGUGAGCCCCCGCACAUUCCGCCGUCCCCGGCCAUGGUCCCCCUCACUCCACCGGCGACGGCCGUGAUCCCCCGCCCCCGCCGACCACGGUCGUGGGCCAUUGCUCUUGGUAGCACGCAUCAGUACCGCUUGUAAUAAUCUUAUGAUGCAUCUCUGAAAGACAACUUGGUGUUAAACCCAAGACAGAUUUGAAUGAAGAAAAGAAAAGAACAUGCAAGAAAAUCAGAAGAAACGGUUGGGAUGCAUCUACGAAAGACAAUUUGGUAGUGAACCUCAUGUGUUGGAUGAAUUUUAGAUGGCCUUUGUGCCUAUAUUUUGCUACGAGAUUAUCAUGUUAUCUCUGAAUAUUUAUGUCUGAAUAUGUGCUACAUGAAAUGGCCAUGACAGAAUUUCAUUUUUCAGUGCAAAAAUAUUGUUCUCACAGCUGAUAUUUUGGCAAGUUAUUUGAUCGAGUUUACUAAGCUGAAAUGGAAAAGUUUUGUACAUAAAAUAGGGCACUUAGCUUAGCAUGAGCCCCCUGCCUACUGCUGCUGUUGCUCUCCGUGCGUGUGCUGUGGUGUGUAAUUAUCAGGGGCAAUGUUAACCACUAGUCCAAGAAUGGCAGAAUCCAUGUCACUGAAAGAAAGUUACCCAAGUAGCUAUACUACAGCCCCUCCAGAGCAAUGGGAAAGCUAAAUGCUUCACUUUUAAGUUUUAACAAGGGAAACUACAAAGAUUUCUGCAAGCAAUUCACAUUCAUUCUGCAAAUCUACAAUUUUAGUAUGUACAACAAUAGCAAUCAGCAAAGAUUUCUUGUACACCCACAUUCAUUCAAGAAUUUUCUGUACAUUCACAUUCACUCAGCUGCAGCAAAACAACAAGGAUGUGUCUGUCUCAACUCUGAACAUCCACAUUCAUUCAGUUACUCAGUACAGCAAAACAUCAAUUUCCCUCGUAGAGAAAAAGGGCAGGGAGGCGGAACCCGCGGCUGCGUGGUCUCCCUCGCAUGGAGCAGCGCCAGGUCGCAGGGUCGCGGAGGUCACCGUUUUGUGGGGUCAGCGCUGCCGCCGCCGCUGCCGACAUUGUCCCUUGAACUGCGUGUGGUCAGUGCCAGGUCAUGGCCCCGUCGAUGCUCCACCGCGGCCUCCGAGUAUGAAUUGCUAGGGGAGUGGCGGUGCUGUCAGUCGUCUCCGCAUCCAGUCACCGUCCAAUCACCGCCGUCUCCAGGUCGCCCUCGCACGGAUGCAGAACUAAGGAGGGGAUAACGAGGACGCCCUCGCGCGAGUGGAUAACCCCUGCUGGCAGUGGGUUAGCUGCAAAACUGGCGUUAAGUGGCUGGUUAGAUUCCACCUUUGGUUUGCGGCUUUGCGCCGUGCGUUCUCGAUCCAAUGGCGCACGAGGAUAGUUUUCAGUUUUCAGUGAGGAUAUAUUUACCCUUACCCCCACACCUACACCUGCUUCGCAUUGUUGCCCAUCCAUCGUGGACGUGCAGCUGCUGCCGCUGCGCUCUACACAUGUAUUGUUGUCCGCCAAUGUGCCUCUGCUCCCCGCCGCAGUCGCCUCCCCGGGCGACCCCACAAGUCACAACCAUUCGUAUCCUCUGAAACAUCAUUCAGUUUAUUCACAAAUUUUACUUCAUAAAAUAUUUUAAAAUAAAAUGGUGCCUCGUCUUAUGCGAAAAAUGAAAUAUCUGUAAAUAUAACUUCAUAGACUAUAGUGUUAAUAUAAAAAUUACAUGGCAAUAAGUAUUUGAAACACAUAACUGCACAGGAAAAAUCAGAUCCUUCCAUCUCGGAAGAUGAUCUUCGUGCCCUUCUUCCACCCCGGUUUGACAUCGAUAGUCAGGAUCUCCUCCAGUGGGAUGGUCUUCUACAAAUAGUUGCCAUGAGGAAUUAGCGUUUAGUGUUUAUUUUAGCAGCUAAAAUCUGUUUGUUGUUCUAUUAAAGACAUGCACCCAAAACUGAAAGUAAUCCAAAAUGACCGAGUAGACUAAAAAUUGAAGCUGGCUUAAAUAUUAGUAAGAACCGACCAGGCUGAAGUAUUUGAUUGAACCAGCAGAGAUGUUGCACUGCUAAUAAUCUAUCUUUAGAAUAGAUCAUGAACAAUGGUGGUUGUCACUGCAUGUACUUAAAGAAAUCAAACAUACCCAAGUAGCCAACUACACAUUUCUCAGGUUUAAUCUUGGGAACACAUUUACCUCAUACUAACAUUAAAUAAUUCAGAAUGAUUGAGGAAGCUAAAAUCCAAAUGCAGGUUAAAAUUCCUGAAAACUGUCAAAAUCAAUAAUACAACUGAAUUGUCAGAUGGAACAAAAAAGUAAAUUGCAUUUAUCAAGUUUAACCUAAACCAACUAACACAGUCUCAAUAUUCAAGAAUGUAGUUGCUCCUGAUUCUUAACAAAUAACCACAUGUGUACCACUCUUGAAUUUCCGGUAAAUAUAAGAGGGGGUAGGGAAAAAAGAUUGCUUAUAAAGAUUCAGCCGGUAAGAAUUGAGCGGUGAAAGGUUCCCAGUUAUUAUCCCAUAUUUGACCAUGAGCAUCAAUACAUCAGCAACGGAUAUGAAAUUGCAACCACAAGCAUCGGUCAAUAUCGAUCUUGGUAUAUGUAUGUGUGUACCUAAGCGUGGUCCUUGCGGUGGGUUCCUAACUUCAUAUGAAGCUGACCUUUCAGUGAUUCUGUCCUCGGCAGUCAGGCUGAAACCGUUUUCACCGGCGGCUUGCAGAUUUCAUAUGUGUGUGUGCUCCUGAAAGAAAAAUCCAUCCAGCUGUCUGCGUGUCUGCUUCUAGUGUAUGCGCGUAUCCCGACGAAGAAUCAAUCCACCGGGUUGGUUUUCUUGAUCGGCCGCUCGUCCUGGGCGUCGAGGAGAAGCGAGCGCCAGAUCUUGAACCUAUUAAGGGUGAGGGGCUAGCAUAGAUGUAGUCCGAGCCAUCGGCGCCUCCGUCGCCGCCUGACUGCUUUCUUCCGGCGGGCAAACCCUAGUACCCCGAUCCAACCCCGCGUGUCAGGCAGCCGCCGGAGCAUGCUCACCGGCGAGCACGUACUGAGCCGCCGCCAGGCCUCUCAUUCCCCAGCCUCCUCCGCCCCUGAAGAUGCGCCGCCGCAGGCAGAACCAAUGAAAUUGGGCCAUGCUGCUGCAUGCAAGCCUUUAAUCAUGCGAAUUAGUUUUUUUCCUCACGCAGCGGAACGUUUCGUCCCCUUGCUCGAUGGCAGAGUAUCGUGCGCUUCUGUUAAUUGCUAAACGUACACAGAUGAGAGUUAAUUUUUAUAUUAACGGUUAGAUCUAAUUAGAUGGAUCUGAUCGUGAGGUGGUAUUUUAUCCUGGUUGUUUUGUGUACGUGUUUCCAUGUGCGUUUAGGGAAGAAUAUGUUUGUUUGUUUAAUAGUACUACCUCCGUCUAGGUGAAUAAGUCAUUUGCGUAGUUCUAGGUCAUCAAUUUGAGGAAUUAAAUAUGUGUUAUAUGUCAUGAAAAGUAUAUCACUAGAUUUCUACACGGAUGUAGUUUCUAAAUAUAUAUUUUUUGUCACAUAUAAUACAUAUUUAAAUAGUUAAAUCAUCAACCUAAAACUACGCGAAUGAUUUAUUCACCGAGACGAAGGUAGUAGUAGAGAUAAAAAAAUCACCUCGUAUGCUCCUCCCACGCGUCACCUCGUUUGCUCCAUCGCGGUUGAUCGGUCAACCAUUGACUUUUGAAAAAAAUAAAAAAAUACAUAAAUUAAAAAUGUUCACGAAUUCUGAAAGAAAAGUUCACAAACUUCAAAAAUGAUUCAUCGAUUUAUAAAAAGUGCAUCAAAUUUGACAAAAAAUUCACCGAUUUUGAAAAAUGAUCGUUGGUUUUGAAAAAAGUUCAUAAACUUCAAAAAAAGUUCAUGGUUUUUUUAAAUCAUCAAAUUUGAAAAACAAAUGCACAGGUUUUGAAAAAAGUUCAUCGACUUAAAAAUAGUUCAUCAAAUUUGGAAAAAACAAUCAUCGAAUUUGAAAAAAGUUCACCGAUUUGGGAAUAUGUUCAUCCAAUUAGAAAAACGUUCAUCAAUUUUGAAAAAAAAUCAUCAAAUUUAAAAACGUUCAUAAAAUCUGAUGAAGUUUUUGCAUCAAAUUACAAAAACAAAAAACAAAAAGAAGAAAGAAAACCAAAAAAGGAAAACUAAAAGAAAAGGAAAGAAUAAAAGAGAUAAGAAGCUGUACGUUAUCACAAAAGGAGCGGCUGGGGUGGUUCGCGCGUUUGCGUGCCCUGUUAACGGGCGCUCUGAGCGCCAUUUAGGAUUUGCGCAUUUUCUUUUUACAGGUUAAUACUUGAUGCCAGGUACCCCCUUAAAAAAACUUGAUGCCAGGUGUAGCCCAUUGGCAGUGUCACAUUAAGCUAGGCUAGGUAGGUUGGGCCUGUUUUAUUUUUUUGGAUGUAAAAGGAGGGGAUUGUGUUGUGCUAUGCCUAGAGUAGUAGAGUAGACAGUUGUUCCAUUGUUGUACACGGAGUGUCUGCUCUCUAGUUUGAAUGCUCCCUUAUGAACAGUAAGAUUAAAAAAAUGGUUUUUGUGUGGUAAAUUUUGACAAAUGUUUUGUAUGCUUGAUAGAUUUCAUCACGAAAUGACAUUCGUGGUAGUCGUGGCAAAAACAUAUUUCAUGCUCAAAUUUUUUUUUGAAAACAUUUUGGUGUUGAUUUUUUUGCCAUCACUUCCACGAAAGUUAUUUCAUGCUGAAAUUUGUCAAGCAUACAAAACAUCUAUCAAAGUUUACAAAAAAAAAUUUGUGGUAGAUCUUUUUGCUAUUAUUUUAUGUUUUCCUGUUCAUCAAUGAGCAUUUGAGCUCGGGAUCAGGAAAGGAGUUUUGGUUUCAUUUUUUUUGCGAGGGUAAAAAGAGUUUUAUUCCUUAGAUAGAUGCAGAAUUACAAUCAGCUGGCAAAAGCUCAGCAAUAUAAGGUGGGCAAUUUUGUAGCCAACAAGCCAUGCUACACUCUACUCGUUCGCGAGGCGAUUUGCUACUCUGUUUUGAUCUCUAGAAAUUUCCAUAGGAAAAACUCUCUACCAACUAAGAGGUGCUUAAUCUCCGUGACUAAAUGGCCAUAAGCCGAUCGAUCAAGAAUACCUGAGAACAAUGAAGAAAGUGUCGUCAAAGAGUCAGAUUGGAUUACCACACGAAGGUUUGAUCACUCCAAAGCUAGCGCUAGACCCUCCCUAAUUGCAUGUAGUUCCACUUCGAGGGCAUCGUUGCAGAAGAAGAGGUGUCGAUAAGCAACAAAGAUCAAGCUUCCAUCACCGACCUCUGUUUUCUGAUGAAAUGUACCCAAUUGCACUGAGUAAAAUAAGAGAGUUUUACAGCACCAGGCAGCGGCAAGUUUUACAGCAUCAUGGGGGCAACAGAAAGGUGGAGCCCGUCAGACCACGCAAGAAUUUGUUCAUCCAACGGCCAACACACUCCCAUCUAAAAUAAAUUAACUGAACAUAUAUUGGGUGCCAUCUUCUCAGAUCAACAUUCGCUAAUUAAUCAAACUGCUCUUUUCUAAACAACCGCAAUCUCGUCGCACGUAGCUCUCAAUAAUCCGCAAGCAAAUCAUAAUCAAAAACUUUGGGAGUCUAGCCGGCUGACUGCAAUAUGCGCCUGCAGUGUGCCCUGGACUGAAGCUGAUCCUCUGCCUCGUUUUAGGCGUCAUGCGUCUGCAUCCAGUUUCAGAUCAUCUUCUCCUAGUACUCCCUCCGUAAAGAAAUAUAACAGCGUUUAGAUCACUAAAAUAGCGUUCCAAACACUCUUAUAUUUGUUUACAGAGGGAGUAGAAAGGAAGCGACAUACACGUUCAGCAAACUGAAAACUUUUGAGUAAGCACACUGAACAAAUAUACAUACCCAUGGACCGCUUGCUCUAUAGCUUAUCGAGAUGAUAAACCAGCAUGCUACUGCUACCCCAUGACCAUGAGAUACAUCUUUAUCUACAUUUCAGACAGUGUAAAACCCACAAGCAGUACCGGGGGUGGGGGGCACUUGGUUAACUAUGGCAAUGACACAGAAUAUAAGAAGAACCUGCAUCUGACUUCAAGAGGGGAUAUUUUCCCCGAAACGAACAUUGGAUUCAAAAUCCCCCCAAUAUGAGCGCCACUUCUCCUACAAGAUGAAAACAGCUUAGCUACUGCCAUUUCUGGACCGUCAGUAUCCUAUUACCAAGAAUUCAAACGAGAGUUAGAUGUGAAAAGGUUACCGAAAUAGUCAAAAUCAUCCCAUAAAUGGUGCUACGAAAAUGGCAGGUCUAAUUUAUGUUACUCAACGAAAGAAGAAAAAGUAAGUUUUGCAAGGUUCCACCGUCUCAUAUUGCCAGAAGACGAGUUAGACAUUCAACUACUAGUCUAUAAUUUGAGAUACUACUGGCACUGGGUAUAAGCCAACUCGGUAAUCUUCUGAAUCCUUGAAAGGAACCAUUUUAAACUGUAGCCUAAAUGAGGACCUGAAACAGGUUGAAACCAGUAGCCGGUAAUUGCAGGUAAUAGUUCAGUUCAGAAACCAGUACAGAUCAACGGAGGGGAAAUGUAGAAUCAGAACCUAUGAUAUAUGUCCAGGCAAUAAUACCAAACAUAAUAAUUAUUAAGAAAAACAAGUCUAAUGCGUCCGUCAUAACCAUUCAGAAAUGGUAAUCGUAUCAAAAGUAUUAGUUUGCUUGCACUAUAUGACAUCAUCACAACACAAGGGUGGAUUAAAGUAGAACAAGCAUUAUGGCCAUCUUCCUUCUGAUGAAAAUUUCAAACGAAUAAUUAUAGCAAAGGGGAGAAGGCACACAAUUGAACGGUAAUAUAACUACAACUAUGACUACAACAACAUAAAGCAUGAAACAAAGUACCUCCUGUUUAGUUUCCCAUUUUGCUGACACAGUAUCUUCAACAAGGAGAUAAGCAACUUGCAAGGACCACCUCUCGGAAUACUGGUGGAAGAUUCAUACCAUGUAAUCAUCUCAUCGAGCCAUUUGUUUACAUUCUUUGAUGCAGUACUUCCACCAACAAGAGGACCAGGAAGUAAAUAAGUGCACUACCAUCAGUAGUCCUUGAAGCAAAUAAAGAGGGAAAAAUAACUAGUGUUAACUGCAACGACAACCUGAUAACUCCAAGAGUUCAUGUUUACACUGUGUGUGUGGAUACACUGGGUUUUACUUGUGUGGCAUAAAAUGGACCCAGUGGCUCUCGAACUACAGUCCUAACAGUCAUCCAGAUAUAUAAUACAUCUAACAUUAUAAUUAAUAUUGUAAAGGAAACAACAUGGCCUAUCUUCUUGUGCUUGAUAAAGCUUAAGUAAUACUUAUAAGGCUUUCGAAAGGUGAUAAAAAUUCUGAAGUAGCCGUAAAACUGCCAAGUAUUUUCAGAACGCGAACAACAUUAUUCAAUUUUGAGAUCAGAUGUCCCUAGAAAAAGUAUAAGCCAAUAGGCCAUCCAAAAACAUAGAGCGGGGGGAAAAAAAGCUGGUACAAACUACUACUAGUAAACAAUGACAUGCUUUCUUGUACAGUCAAUAUCUUAUAAACAGAGCAACUGCAGGAAAACGAAGACUAUCAUCUUAGAAGAACUAAGAGGAAGGAACCAACAAACUAGUUCAAAACUGCAUCCUCGGCAGUGAUCUACACAUUGUGGCCAUCAACAAUUCCACAAUUGUUUCCGCCGUCCAAAGGGAAAUUUUGAGACUUCAAUUAAUAAUGACCAAAAUGAGAACAUUUUUCAUGGAAAGGUAGUUAAGGAUUGCACUGAAAACUGCAAUGGUCGUUGAGAACAUAACGAUAGAGUAUCCAGACAUACUCUAUCACUGAUAUUUGAAACCAUUUGUAGAAAUACCCUGAUCUCACACACUCUUGCUUCUAUUACGUGUGUCAAUAUGAUAUGAGGAUGGACAUGUUAACCGUAGUGCGAUGCUUCCUUCUCUACUGGAAUGGUGUGAUGGACAUACAAAGAAGUCACAAUCAAAUUAUCAGUUUCAUAUGGAAAUAGCGACACUAAAUUGACAUGUACCAGACAUAAUAGAGGAGACAACCAAGAUCCAAUUAGGCAAAGAACACCGAAACAGAAAUUACUAGCUCACUGCACAGAGUGUAAACUCUGUUGCGCCAUACACAGUUACCAAUACUCAUAGCCCGUUCUUGGUUUAUGUAAAUCUGAAACUGAAAGGCACUUCCCCUCUACAAGCAUCGGCAUAGUCUUCAGCAAGGUGGGGUGCAGCUUCCUUGUGAGGACAUAUGAACCUCUCCAUGAAUACCUUUUCGCUGAUACAGAGCGUAUUAUAAUAGUCCCGGUCAUGAUCUAGAAAUCCAUUUUCCUUGAGAUACUUUACAACGUAGUGCCGGGGUUUGAUCCGGCCCUCCAGGCUAUAAUUGAGCAUGGCGGGCCGAUGAGCAAUGUAUGCUGGUUCCAGCCCUGCCUUGGAGAUGAGGAACUCUGAGAUGCCCUGCAGCCUGUCACUAGAAAAACUCAGCAUCCCUGGAGACUUGGACAAAGCAAUGCGCACCUCAGCAUCUGACCACCUGAGCAUCUUCUUCAAGUGCUCCACUUUGGCGGCGAUCUUCUCCUGGCUGAGGCGUGCAACAGCCCACAACGCGUGCCUGAACAUCGCAGAGCCACAGGGCACACCAAUACCUUCGGCGCGUGCCGCCACUGACCGGACGCACUCUAAGCUUGAGGCGAGCAGCCAUGGUUGACCGAUACACAACUUGGCAAUGUCGCAAUCACCUAGCCCGCACUCUUUAAGGAACGCAACAUUGGGCUUGACCACUGUCUCGAGGUCGGCCGAAACAAGGCAUAAGCCGCGCCUGAGAGCAGGGAGGAGGUUCUCAAAGGAGACGAAGAGGUGCAGGUGGUAUUGUAGAUAGGAGACGAUGGAUCUACAUCGGAAUUUGUCACGGGAGAGCGAGACGAGGCGCGCGAUGUCAGAACGUGACAGGCCGAGGCCGGUGAGCCCAGCGACGACGGGGGCCAGGGUUUUCUCCACUCUGGCGCAGAGGAACAGCGGGUCCUUGGCGACGAGGGCGGCGACGUCGGCGCCGGAGAGGCCGAGGCCGGCGAGGAAGGCGAGCACGGCGUCGGGCUUGGAAGGGGACUUGAGGUGGGAGAGCUUGGCCGAGGCCUUGAGGGCCUGUGCUCGGGUGAGGCCGCAGGUGGAGACGAGGUACCCCUCCACAUCGAAGCUAGGGUUCGGGAAGAUGGCGGGCGCGGCGGCGGAUAUGAGGCGGCGGAGCUGGGAGGCGGGAGAUGCGGAGGGAGGCGAGAGGAGCUGGGUGAGGAGGCAGCACCUGAGCCGGAGCAUGGCGGCGCCGCGGAGAAGGAGAUUGGCGGGGGCGGCGGCGGCGGCGAGGGAAUGGGAAAAGCGCGAUGGCCGGUGGUGGAGUGGUUCGCGUGGGUGUGGUCUGAUCUCUGAUCUGGUUCGUCCCAACCCAGACCAAAGUGGGCUCCCACCCGUCAGUCUCACAUGCCACGUCAUACACUAUAAAAAUAUACAGAUUCGAAAUGUGAAAAUACAUUCAUAAUUUUAAUUCGGGUUGACCGAUUGAAAAUAAAAAGUUCCCAUCUCCACCGCGAGCCACUUGCGUGAGCGGCGUCGGAGGGGCAACCCUAGCCGCUCAAGACCCUCCUCCCGUGCUCACAGGGCGGCGCCGACGACGAUACCGACGGCGGUGGCGGUGCCCGACCCGUCAAAGAUGAUGGGCGUGGGUUCAACGCGGCCCGAUGGGCCUCCCUCGGGCAGAGGGAGUGGCGUCAAGUGGGCAGCGUGGGGAGUCCUCUAGUGUGGCGAUGCACGACGGGGAGAGCACAGAGCAGUGGAGCAUGAUUGGGAGUUAGAAGAAGAUAGGUGGUGCAUGAUGGUCCUCCAGAAGGCGCCGAUGUGGGAAGCGGCGCGGUUGGGAUGUGCGGAGGGGUAGCGGUGUUCGACCAGAUGACAUUGCGCGAGCGGCGGCCGGGCAUUGGCUGUUGUGCGGUCCUUUGGUGAAGCGCGCGUCACUAGAGCGGCAGGCGGGAUGCUGCGGUGCGGGAAUUUGUUGGCAGCGAUACUAACUGGAAUUGGACCCAUUCAAUGUCGAGCAGGUCCUGUCCACCUGGAGUUGUGUGAUCAGCUCAUGCUUCCAAUGCCGACGGCCUUGGUGUGCUGGUGAUAGAGGCUCGGCUGGUGCUGCUAGAUCUUGCCAAUGUAGGAGGUGGAGAUGGAGUGUGUUUCCUCGGCCGUACAGGGUGUCGAUGUUCCGCGCCGCUAUGGUAGAUAUAUUUGUAUGCUGAGUAUUAGGAGUGGUGUUAUGUAGGUAUUUGUGGUCAUACAAAUUGUAUAUGGAGUAAUAUAGUUAAUAUUGGAUAUUGUGGUGGUAGAUAUAUUAGUAUACCGAGUACUAGAAUUAGAUUUUUUAACAAACUAAUUAAUAAUUAAACCUAUAUAAUUGUGUCUUCGUGAUCCACAAUGUCGUAAAAUCAAUAUGAUGAAAUAAAAAGGGACAGUACAUACAUGCAGUUAUUCCUAGCAAGUUGAUUCUCAACAAAUGAAUAAAUUUUGAACUAAAAAAUUAUAGUCCAUUAUAAAUACAUGUGGUGUAUAUGUUUUGAGUAAGAUCCACAUUUUUUGUCAUGGUAGUUAGCCAUGCUAAUUAAUUGUCACACUAUGAAAGGAUCGAUACAGUCAACUAUAGAGGGGGGUGAAUAGGAGACUACAAAUUUUAAUCUUUCUUAUAGAUUUUAAGGCUUAGCGGAUAAAAGAGUUCACUAGAUAUGCAACUAGAUGAAUGCAACCUAUAUGACAAGCAAGCUCCAAGAAGAAAAGCUAGGCAACAAACUACUUAGCAAGCCAACAAGCAUACAACAACUAAGAAAGGUGCGGGAAAGGAUUAACCACAAGUGAGACGAGGACACGAAUUUUAACCCGAAGUUCACUCUUCCUUGGGGAAGAGCUAAUCUCCGUUUGGAGCAGUGCCGGAGCCAAAGCUUGCGGAAUGCCACCAAGGGCUCACCGUAUUCUCCUUCGAGUCACCCCCAACGGAUGAGCCUCGAACCACUCGGGGUUGGUCUUGAAGGCGACCACCACACCUUUACAAACUUCUCCGGAGCACACCACAAGCAAGGAAGCUUCCGGAGGAACCUCUAACCGCCUAGGAGCCCAAGCUCCAAGAGUAACAAGUCAAUGAGGAAGAAAUGUUGCGGGGAACGCGAUUUGGUUUGGUCAAGUUGUAGAUCGGGUCUUGCUCUCCCAAUCGCCAAAAUUUCAACAAGUUUGGGUAGAGGGAUUGAGAGUAUUGAGCAAAAUGGGGUGUAGCAAUGGUGGAGCUCAACAAGACAUUAGGGUUCGGGUUGGAGGAGGAAGAAAUGCCUUUUUAUAGUGUUCAUGUGAGGGCGGGGAUUUCUGCCCGUUGGACCCCGUGCGCACGGGCUAAGUCAGCCCCGUGCGCACGGGGUAUCCAGAGACAAUCGCACCACCCCGUGCGCACGAGGGUCUCCAGAGAGUUACACAGUACCCCGUGCGCACGGGGUAUCCAGAGAGUUACCCAGUACCUCGUGCGCACGGGGGUCAAAAGACCCCGUGCGCACGGGGUAUCCAGAGAGUUACCCAGUACCUCGUGCGCACGGGGUCAAAAGACCCCGUGCACACGGGGUACCCAGUAACUUACUGUUGCAACUUUCUGAGUACCACAGCACACACACUAGGUUCAUAUGAGGUGAUUGGAGUGGGAAGGGUAAGAGAGUAAGGCUCGGCAAAGGCAUUCCCACACAACAUUUAUCCACACAGACCCCUCUUAAUAGUGCGGUCUUUUCUAUGACUCGAAGCAAACCAAAACUAAACCUUCGAAGCGUCGAAAGACCACGCCUUUGUCCUUUUUGAAAUGGGGGGUCGCACAUCUCCAUCGCGGGCACUUAGAACCAAUAACCUGAGAUAAAUUUUAGCAACCGAUAUUAGUUCAACUAACCACAUUGUCAUCACACCAAAAUAUAGCUUAAGUGCCAUUAGCACUUUCAGUCUCCCCCUUUUUGGUGCAUUGAUGACAACGUGGUUAGAGCAUGGCAAAGAGGAUAAAUAGAUAGAAAGCCAUCGAAGAAAUAAUGAUCUUGAUAGCUCCCCCUAUAUGUGUGCCCGAAAACAAGAAUGCAUCUAGUACACCCAUAGGAGGUUCGAUCAAGAUCAUUAUUGAUAAGUCAUGAGAUUUAUCAAAAUAAACCUAUAACUGUGCCUAGAUCUCAUGACACAGUGUGGUGAGCAAAUAAUGUGAGACCCAAUAAGCAUAAGAGGAUAAUAGCAAGGUUCAAUAAUAAAGCUAGAGUCUCACAAUAACACUAGAGGCUCACAACCACACAGACGAAAAGGAAAUAAGAGUAUCUCAAGCCAACUAAAACCAACCAACAGCGAGAAACACGAGGCUUGAGAUCUCAACACACCCAUGAACACACCAACCACACACACCACUUCUCCCCCUUUGUCAUCAAGACAACAAAAAGGAGAAAAAUGGCGACACGAGACCCACUAGACACAAGAGGAGGAGCACUCGAGGCAUCAUCAUCAUCAUCAUCAUCAUCAAAACGCCACCUGGACAUUGGGAAAGACCGAGCAGUGGCCUCACUGUCGACGUCCUCAGAACCUGGACCGACCUCCUCACCAGCUGCAGCCCUUGCUGCCUUCUGCUCAUGCCGAACAAGCUUAUCCUUGUUGAUUUCCUUGAUCUGACGACGCUGCAUCGACUGACACAUCUUGAACAUGUUGCUCAAGGUCUUGAACAGCGACUUCUUCUCUCCCUUGGCAAAGAUGGCCUCAGAGCCAACAGACUUGGCCUUACCACGAGGGAUCCGUGCAGUAGAGGACAUGCCUGGAGUGUAAGUAGCACGAUCCUCAGGCCUAGGGUUGCGCCCCUUCUUGAUGGGCACAUAGGGAGCAGGAGCAACUGGGGUCUAGUUGGAGUUGCGCUUGGGAACAACAGUCUUGAAGCUAGCAAUGUACUUUGUUGGACAGAUAGUCUCAAUCAACGUUUGUAUGAAAGGAGCAUAGAUCAAAGACUUGUUCUCUUGUACACACCGACGCAGCUCGUAGUACAUGAAAUCCAGAACAUCCACUUUCUUCUUCUGAUGAAGAUACACAAAGACAUCAAGCAUGGAGCUCCGAAUGUUAUCGGAAUCCCCGGCCUUUGGAGUGAGGGUAUACCGCAGGAUAUGGCGCAUGGUGUCAUAGAGGGGCAAGAGGUCUUUGAUUGACCCAGUGACAAAUGACUUCUCUUGUUUGUAAGCAAAAGUAAUCUCAUCCUUAGUGCGCUGCCCACUUUCCCGAACAAUGCCAAACUCAUCAGAAACAGUCUCUUCAUCCAUGAAUGGGUAGGGAAUGAUCUCGGAGAACUUUGCCAUAGGAGCUGAGCACUGAUACGUUCCGGACAUCCAUGUGAGGGUGCGAGCAGAAUCAUUGGAGAAGUACAGAGUGGCAAAGAACUGCAUCACUAGAUCUUCAUUGUAGGGGUGGUUGAAGUGACAAACGGAAUCAGACCCAGUCGUCCAAGAGCGGAGUACACACCGGGAUACAAAUGAUCAUUGUCGCGGAAACUCUCAGUGUUGACUUGCUUGUGAGGAGCAAACUUCUUUCACUUGCUCAUAAGAAGCUCAUGAUAGAUUCUUUGCUGAAACCCAUUCUUGAAACGGGGAUCCAUUCCCAUACUCGUGGCCUUAACAUACAGAUGGUUAUGUCUCUCAGCCCAGAUCUCUAGCUUGGUCCACUUGACAAGAGGCAUAUUCCGGAGGUCACGCCUCCCCGGAGUGGCUUCCUCCGGACUAGACUCCUCUUCCUCUUCUUCAUCUUCCUCAUCACGAUCAUCUUCUUCAUCUUCCUCACCACGAUCCUCUUCUUCUUCCAUCUCAUCAUCUUGUGAGUCAUAUUCUUCCUCAGAUUCAUCAGAAGCCUCAACAAUGGGCCGCUUUGAGGCUGCAUGGCGAGCACGGCCCUGACCUGUCCCAGACCCCUGACCCAUGCCUUCAGACGGCUGACGAUGAGCAAUGGUGAAGUCCUUUGAUCCUCCUUUUCCACGCUUGCGACGAAGCUCGGACCUCUUGUCAGCGGAGUCUGAGACACACACAAAAACCCAACAACACAAAGCACGAGGCACAAAUGAGUACGAGUGCAAGAUAAAUGGCAAGGAGAUAGACAAAAUUCUAGGCAAUAGUUUCUGGAUAGCCCGUGCGCACGGGGGUUUAGACCCCGUGGGCACGGGGGUCCCGUGCGCACGCUACAGGACCGUGGGCACGGGGGCCCGUGCACACGGGGGUCAAACAUGAAGGAAAUAUGCCCUAGAGGCAAUAAUAAAGUUAUUAUUUAUUUCCUUAUAUCAUGAUAAAUGUUUAUUAUUCAUGCUAGAAUUGUAUUAACCAGAAACAUAAUACAUGUGUGAAUACAUAGACAAACAGAGUGUCACUAGAAUGCCUCUACUUGACUAGCUCGUUAAUCAAAGAUGGUUAUGUUUCCUAACCAUGAACAAAGAGUUGUUAUUUGAUUAACGAGGUGACAUCAUUAGUUGAAUGAUCUGAUUGACAUGACCCAUUCCAUUAGCUUAGCACCCGAUCGUUUAGUAUGUUGCUAUUGCUUUCUUCAUGACUUAUACAUGUUCCUAUAACUAUGAGAUUAUGCAACUCCUGUUUACCGGAGGAACACUUUGGGUACUACCAAACGUCACAACGUAACUGGGUGAUUAUAAAGGAGUACUACAGGUGUCUCCAAUGGUAGAUGUUGGGUUGGCGUAUUUCGAGAUUAGGGUUUGUCACUCCGAGUGUCGAAGAGGUAUCUCUGGGCCCUCUCGGUAAUACACAUCACAUAAGCCUUGCAAGCAUUAUAACUAAGAUGUUAGUUGUGAGAUGAUGUAUUACGGAACGAGUAAAGAGACUUGCCAGUAACAAGAUUGAACUAGGUAUUGGAUACCGACGAUCGAAUCUCGGGCAAGUAACAUACCGAUGACAAAGGGAGCAACAUAUGUUGUUAUGCGGUCUGACCGAUAAAGAUCUUCGUAGAAUAUGUAGGAGCCAAUAUGGGCAUCCAGGUCCCACUAUUGGUUAUUGACCGGAGACGUGUCUCGGUCAUGUCUACAUUGUUCUCGAACCGUAGGGUCCGCACGCUUAACGUUACGAUGACAGUUAUUAUGAGUUUAUGCAUUUUGAUGUACCAAAGGUUGUUCGGAGUCCCGGAUGUGAUCACGGACAUGACGAGGAGUCUCGAAAUGGUCAAGACGUAAAUAUUGAUAUAUUGGAAGCCUAUGUUUGGACAUCGGAAGUGUUCCGGGUGAAAUCGGGAUUUUACCGGAUUACCGGGAGGGUUACCGGAACCCCCCGGGAGCCAAAUGGGCCAACAUGGGCCUUAGUGGAAAGGUGAGAGGGCAGCCCACAUAGGGCUGCGCCUCCCCCCCUCUCCCUAGUCCUAUUAGGACUAGGAGAGGGGCCGGCCACCUCUCUCUUUCUCUUCCCCUUUGGGGAAUCCUAUUAGGAAUAGGAUUGGGGGGGGGGGGAGUCCUACUCCCGGUAGGAGUAGGACUCCUCCUGCGCCUCCUAGCUUGGCCGGCCAGCCUCCCCCCCUUCAUCCUUUAUAUACGGGGGCAGGGGGCACCUCUAGACACACAAGUUGAUCCUUGAGAUCGUUCCUUAGCUGUGUGCGGUGCCCCCUGCCACCAAAUUCCACCUCGAUCAUACUGUUGUAGUGCUUAGGCGAAGCCCUGCGUCAGUAGUACAUCAAGAUCGUCACCACGCCGUCGUGCUGACGGAACUCUUCCUCGACGCUAUGCUGGAUCGGAGCCCGAGGAUCGUCAUCGAGCUGAACGUGUGCUAAGAACUCGGAGGUGCCGGAGUAACGGUGCUUGGAUCGGUCGGAUCGGGAAGACGUACGACUACUUCAUCUACGUUGUGUGAUCGCUUCCGCAGUCGGUCUGCGUUGGUACGUAGACAACACUCUCCCCUCUCGUUGCUAUGCAUCACCAUGAUCUUGCGUGUGCGUAGGAAAUUUUUUGAAAUUACUACGUUCCCCAACAGUGGCAUCCGAGCCUAGGUUUUAUGGUUUGAUGUUAUUUGCAUGAGUAGAACACAAGUGAGUUGUGGGCGAUACAAGUCAUACUGCCUACCAGCAUGUCAUACUUUGGUUCGGCGGUAUUGUUGGAUGAGACGACCCGGACCAACCUUACGCGUACGCUUACGCGAGACCGGUUCCCUCGACGUGCUUUGCACAUAGAUGGCUUGCGGGCGACUGUCUCUCCAACUUUAGUUGAACCAAGUGUGGCUACGCCCGGUCCUUGAGAAGGUUAAAACGGAGUCUAUUUGACGAACUAUCGUUGUGGUUUUGAUGCGUAGGUGAGAUGAGUUCUUACUUAAGCCCGUAGCAGCCACGUAAAACUUGCAACAACAAAGUAGAGGACGUCUAACUUGUUUUUGCAGGGCAUGUUGUGAUGUGAUAUGGUCAAGGCAUGAUGCUGAUUUUAUUGUAUGAGAUGAUCAUGUUUUGUAACCAAGUUAUCGGCAACUGGCAGGAGCCAUAUGGUUGUCGCUUUAUUGUAUGCAGUGCAAUCGCGAUGUAAUGCUUUACUUUAUUACUAAGCGGUAGUGAUAGUCGUGGAAGCAUAAGAUUGGAGAGACGACAACGAUGCUACGAUGGAGAUCAAGGUGUCGCGCCGGUGACGAUGGUGAUCAUGACGGUGCUUCGGAGAUGGAGAUCACAAGCACAAGAUGAUGAUGGCCAUAUCAUAUCACUUAUAUUGAUUGCAUGUGAUGUUUAUCCUUUUAUGCAUCUUAUCUUGCUUUGAUUGACGGUAGCAUUAUAAGAUGAUCUCUCACUAAAUUAUCAAGAAGUGUUCUCCCUGAGUAUGCACCGUUGCCAAAGUUCGUCGUGCCCAGACACCACGUGAUGAUCGGGUGUGAUAAGCUCUACGUCCAUCUACAACGGGUGCAAGCCAGUUUUGCACACGCAGAAUACUCAGGUUAAACUUGACGAGCCUAGCAUAUGCAGAUAUGGCCUCGGAACACAGAGACCGAAAGGUCGAGCGUGAAUCAUAUAGUAGAUAUGAUCAACAUGACGAUGUUCACCAUUGAAAACUACUCCAUCUCACGUGAUGAUCGGUUAUGGUUUAGUUGAUUUGGAUCACGUGAUCACUUAGAGGAUUAGAGGGAUGUCUAUCUAAGUGGGAGUUCCUAAGUAAUAUGAUUAACUAAACUUAAACUUAUCAUGAACUUAGUACCUGAUAGUAUCUUGCUUGUUUAUGUUGAUUGUAGAUAGAUGGCUCGUGCUGUUGUUCCGUUGAAUUUUAAUGCGUUCCUUGAGAAAGCAAAGUUGAAAGAUGAUGGUAGCAAUUACACGGACUGGGUCCGUAACCUGAGGAUUAUCCUCAUUGCUGCACAGAAGAAUUACGUCCUGGAAGCACCGCUGGGUGCCAGGCCUGCUGCUAGAGCAACGCCAGAUGUUAUGAACGUCUGGCAGAGCAAAGCUGAUGACUACUCGAUAGUUCAGUGUGCCAUGCUUUACGGCUUAGGAUCGGGACUUCAACGACGUUUUGAACGUCAUGGAGCAUAUGAGAUGUUCCAGGAGUUGAAGUUAAUAUUUCAAGCAAAUGCCCGAAUUGAGAGAUAUGAAGUCUCCAAUAAGUUCUAUAGCUGCAAGAUGGAGGAGAACAGUUCUGUCAGUGAGCAUAUACUCAAAAUGUCUGGGUAUAAUAAUCACUUGAUUCAGAUGGGAGUUAAUCUUCCAGAUGAUUGAGUCAUUGACAGAAUUCUCCAAUCACUGCCACCAAGCUACAAGAGCUUCGUGAUGAACUAUAAUAUGCAAGGGAUGAACAAGACUAUUCCCGAGCUCUUCGCAAUGUUGAAAGCUGCGGAGGUAGAAAUCAAGAAGGAGCAUCAAGUGUUGAUGGUCAACAAGACCACUAGUUUCAAGAAAAAGGGCAAAGGGAAGAAGAAGGGGAACUUCAAGAAGAACAGCAAGCAAGUUACUGCUCAGGAGAAGAAACCCAAGUCUGGACCUAAGCCUGAAACUGAGUGCUUCUACUGCAAGCAGACUGGUCACUGGAAGCGGAACUGCCCCAAGUAUUUGGCGGAUAAGAAGGAUGGCAAGGUGAACAAAGGUAUAUGUGAUAUACAUGUUAUUGAUGUGUACCUUACUAGAGCUCGCAGUAGCACCUGGGUAUUUGAUACUGGUUCUGUUGCUAAUAUUUGCAACUCGAAACAGGGACUACGGAAUAAGCGGACGCUAGAAAAGGACGAGGUGACGAUGCGCGUGGGAAACGGUUCCAAAGUCGAUGUGAUCGCGGUCGGCACGCUACCUCUACAUCUACCUUCGGGAUUAAUAUUAGACCUAAAUAAUUGUUAUUUGGUGCCAGCGUUAAGCAUGAACAUUAUAUCUGGAUCUUGUUUAAUGCGAGACGGUUAUUCAUUUAAAUCAGAGAAUAAUGGUUGUUCUAUUUAUAUGAGUAAUAUCUUUUAUGGUCAUGCACCUUUGAAGAGUGGUCUAUUCUUGUUGAAUCUCGAUAGUAGUGAUACACAUAUUCAUAAUGUAGAAGCCAAAAGAUGCAGAGUUGAUAAUGAUAGUGCAACUUAUUUGUGGCACUGCCGUUUAGGUCAUAUCGGUGUAAAGCGCAUGAAGAAACUCCAUACUGAUGGGCUUUUGGAACCACUUGAUUAUGAAUCACUUGGUACUUGCGAACCGUGCCUCAUAGGCAAGAUGACUAAAACACCGUUCUCUGGUACUAUGGAGAGAGCAACAGAUUUAUUGGAAAUCAUACAUACCGAUGUAUGUGGUCCGAUGAACAUUGAGGCUCGUGGCGGAUAUCGUUAUUUUCUCACCUUCACAGAUGAUUUAAGCAGAUAUGGGUAUAUCUACUUAAUGAAACAUAAGUCUGAAACAUUUGAAAAGUUCAAGGAAUUUCAGAGUGAAGUUGAAAAUCAUCGUAACAAGAAAAUAAAGUUUCUACGAUCUGAUCGUGGAGGAGAAUAUUUGAGUUACGAGUUUGGUGUACAUUUGAAAAAUUGUGGAAUAGUUUCGCAACUCACGCCACCCGGAACACCACAGCGUAAUGGUGUGUCCGAACGUCAUAAUCGUACUUUACUAAAUAUGGUGCGAUCUAUGAUGUCUCUUACUGAUUUACCGCUAUCGUUUUGGGGUUAUGCUUUAAAGACGGCCGCAUUCACGUUAAAUAGGGCACCAUCAAAAUCCGUUGAGACGACGCCUUAUGAACUAUGGUUUGGCAAGAAACCAAAGUUGUCGUUUCUUAAAGUUUGGGGCUGCGAUGCUUAUGUGAAAAAGCUUCAACCUGAUAAGCUCAAACCCGAAGCGGAGAAAUGUGUCUUCAUAGGAUACCCAAAGGAGACUGUUGGGUAUACCUUCUAUCACAGAUCCGAAGGCAAGACAUUUGUUGCUAAGAAUGGAUCAUUUCUAGAGAAGGAGUUUAUCUCGAAAGAAGUGAGUGGGAGGAAAGUAGAACUUGACGAGGUAACUGUACCUGCUCCCUUAUUGGAAAAUAGUACAUCACAGAAAACUGUUUCUGCGACACCUAUACCAAUUAGUGAGGAAGCUAAUGAUGAUGAUCAUGAAACUUCAGGACAAGAUACUACUGAACCACGUAGAUCAACCAGAGUGAGAUCCGCACCAGAGUGGUACGGUAAUCCAAUUCUGGAAGUCGUGCUACUAGAUCAUGAUGAACCUACGAACUAUGAAGAAGCGAUGGUGAGCCCAGAUUCCGCAAAGUGGCUUGAGGCCAUGAAAUCUGAGAUGGGAUCCAUGUAUGAGAACAAAGUAUGGACUUUGGUUGACUUGCCCGAUGAUCGGCAAGCAAUUGAGAAUAAAUGGAUCUUCAAGAAAAAGACUGACGCUGGCAGUAAUAUUACUGUCUAUAAAGCUCGACUUGUCGCAAAAGGUUUUCGACAAGUUCAAGGGGUUGACUACGAUGAGACCUUCUCACCCGUAGCGAUGCUUAAGUCCGUCAGAAUCAUGUUAGCAAUUGCCGCAUUUUAUGAUUAUGAAAUAUGGCAGAUAGAUGUCAAAACUGCAUUCCUGAAUGGAUUUCUGGAAGAAGAGUUGUAUAUGAUGCAACCAGAAGGUUUUGUCGAUCCAAAGGGAGCUAACAAAGUGUGCAAACUCCAGCGAUCCAUUUAUGGACUGGUGCAAGCAUCUCGGAGUUGGAAUAAACGCUUUGAUAGUGUGAUCAAAGCAUUUGGCUUUAUACAGACUUUUGGAGAAGCCUGUAUUUACAAGAAAGUGAGUGGGAGCUCUGUAGCAUUUCUGAUAUUAUAUGUGGAUGACAUAUUGCUGAUUGGAAAUGAUAUAGAAUUUCUGGAUAGCAUAAAGGGAUACUUGAAUAAAAGUUUUUCGAUGAAAGACCUCGGGGAAGCUGCUUACAUAUUAGGCAUAAAGAUCUAUAGAGAUAGAUCAAGACGCUUAAUUGGACUUUCACAAAGCACAUACCUUGACAAGAUUUUGAAGAAGUUCAAAAUGGAUCAAGCAAAGAAAGGGUUCUUGCCUGUGUUACAAGGUGUGAAGUUGAGUCAGACUCAAUGCCCGACCACUACAGAAGAUAGAGAGAAAAUGAAAGAUGUUCCCUAUGCUUCAGCCAUAGGCUCUAUCAUGUAUGAAAUGCUGUGUACCAGACCUGAUGUGUGCCUUGCUAUAAGUUUAGCAGGGAGGUACCAAAGUAAUCCAGGAGUGGAUCACUGGACAGCGGUCAAGAACAUCCUGAAAUACCUGAAAAGGACUAGGGAUAUGUUUCUCGUAUAUGGAGGUGACAAAGAGCUCACCGUAAGAGGUUACGUUGAUGCAAGCUUUGACACUGAUCCGGACGAUUCUAAAUCGCAAACCGGAUACGUGUUUACUUUAAACGGUGGAGCUGUCAGUUGGUGCAGUUCUAAACAAAGCAUCGUAGCGGGAUCUACAUGUGAAGCGGAGUACAUAGCUGCUUCGGAAGGAGUCUGGAUGAAGGAGUUCAUAUCCGAUCUAGGUGUCAUACCUAGUGCAUCGGGUCCAAUGAAAAUCUUUUGUGACAAUACUGGUGCAAUUGCUUUGGCAAAGGAAUCCAGAUUUCACAAAAGGACCAAACACAUCAAGAGACGCUUCAACUCCAUCCGGGAUCUAGUCCAGGUGGGAGACAUAGAGAUUUGCAAGAUACAUACGGAUCUGAAUGUUGCAGACCCGUUGACUAAGCCUCUUCCACGAGCAAAACAUGAUCAGCACCAAGGCUCCAUGGGUGUUAGAAUCAUUACUGUGUAAUCUAGAUUAUUGACUCUAGUGCAAGUGGGAGACUGAAGGAAAUAUGCCCUAGAGGCAAUAAUAAAGUUAUUAUUUAUUUCCUUAUAUCAUGAUAAAUGUUUAUUAUUCAUGCUAGAAUUGUAUUAAUCGGAAACAUAAUACAUGUGUGAAUACAUAGACAAACAGAGUGUCACUAGUAUGCCUCUACUUGACUAGCUCGUUAAUCAAAGAUGGUUAUGUUUCCUAACCAUGAACAAAGAGUUGUUAUUUGAUUAACGAGGUGACAUCAUUAGUUGAAUGAUCUGAUUGACAUGACCCAUUCCAUUAGCUUAGCACCCGAUCGUUUAGUAUGUUGCUAUUGCUUUCUUCAUGACUUAUACAUGUUCCUAUAACUAUGAGAUUAUGCAACUCCCGUUUACCGGAGGAACACUUUGGGUACUACCAAACGUCACAACGUAACUGGGUGAUUAUAAAGGAGUACUACAGGUGUCUCCAAUGGUAGAUGUUGGGUUGGCGUAUUUCGAGAUUAGGGUUUGUCACUCCGAGUGUCGGAGAGGUAUCUCUGGGCCCUCUCGGUAAUACACAUCACAUAAGCCUUGCAAGCAUUAUAACUAAGAUGUUAGUUGUGAGAUGAUGUAUUACGGAACGAGUAAAGAGACUUGCCAGUAACAAGAUUGAACUAGGUAUUGGAUACCGAUGAUCGAAUCUCGGGCAAGUAACAUACCGAUGACAAAGGGAGCAACAUAUGUUGUUAUGCGGUCUGACCGAUAAAGAUCUUCGUAGAAUAUGUAGGAGCCAAUAUGGGCAUCCAGGUCCCGCUAUUGGUUAUUGACCGGAGACGUGUCUCGGUCAUGUCUACAUUGUUCUCGAACCGUAGGGUCCGCACGCUUAACGUUACGAUGACAGUUAUUAUGAGUUUAUGCAUUUUGAUGUACCGAAGGUUGUUCGGAGUCCCGGAUGUGAUCACGGACAUGACGAGGAGUCUCGAAAUGGUCAAGACGUAAAGAUUGAUAUAUUGGAAGCCUAUGUUUGGACAUCGGAAGUGUUCCGGGUGAAAUCGGGAUUUUACCGGAUUACCGGGAGGGUUACCGGAACCCCCCGGGAGCCAAAUGGGCCAACAUGGGCCUUAGUGGAAAGGUGAGAGGGCAGCCCACAUAGGGCUGCGCCUCCCCCCCUCUCCCUAGUCCUAUUAGGACUAGGAGAGGGGCCGGCCACCUCUCUCUUUCUCUUCCCCUUUGGGGAAUCCUAUUAGGAAUAGGAUUGGGGGGGGGGAGUCCUACUCCCGGUAGGAGUAGGACUCCUCCUGCGCCUCCUAGCUUGGCCGGCCAGCCUCCCCCCUUCAUCCUUUAUAUACGGGGGCAUGGGGCACCUCUAGACACACAAGUUGAUCCUUGAGAUCGUUCCUUAGCCGUGUGCGGUGCCCCCUGCCACCAAAUUCCACCUCGAUCAUAUUGUUGUAGUGCUUAGGCGAAGCCCUGCGUCAGUAGUACAUCAAGAUCGUCACCACGCCGUCGUGCUGACGGAACUCUUCCUCGACGCUUUGCUGGAUCGGAGCCCGAGGAUCGUCAUCGAGCUGAACGUGUGCUAAGAACUCAGAGGUGCCGGAGUAACGGAGCUUGGAUCGGUCGGAUCGGGAAGACGCACGACUACUUCCUCUACGUUGUGUGAUCGCUUCCGCAGUCGGUCUGCGUUGGUACGUAGACAACACUCUCCCCUCUCGUUGCUAUGCAUCACCAUGAUCUUGUGUGUGCGUAGGAAAUUUUUUGAAAUUACUACGUUCCCCAACAAAACACCCCGUGGCCACGGGGGUCUCCCAGCGGCAGCCACUACCAGAAAGAGCUCCGGGAGUGGGUGCAGCAGAGGGACCAACGGAUCUACGCACUAGACUUCUAUCUACAAACUAGUUGAGGCCAAACGAAUCUAGGGAGCAAGGAAACCCUAAAGCUAGAACAAAAGAGGGGAACUCAAGGAGAUGGAACAAGAGGAGAGGACCAACCGGAGGAGGACCCCAUCAGGAUCCAGAUCCACGGAGGAAGAACUCCGACAUGGCCCGGAGGAGCUCCGGCAAGUGGGGGCGACGACGGCGGUGCUGGAGGCUUCCUGGGGAGUGGAGGGGGCGAAUGGGUGGGAAUGAACCCGAGCCCCCCACGCCCCACCUCUUCAGGACCAGAAACCGCAGACCCCGUGCGCACGGGCUAAGUGAGCCCCGUGCGCACAGGGGUCCCGUGCGCAUGGUAUAGAGCCCGUGGGCACGGGGGCCCCGUGGGCACGGUACAGGCCCGUGCGCAUGGGGUAUUCAGGAACUUUGACAUGAGUGGAUUUUUAGAUACAUGGCUAAGUGUAUACUCUUACCCCUACUUCACAAGGCACUCGGUCUACGUUUCUGAACACGCCGCGAGGAAAGUCCUAUCACUAUGGAAGGGGUAUAUGUGGAACACUUGUAUCAAAAAGAAGCAAGGAGAACCAACCAAAAAAAUGAAAAGAAACACCACAUGAUGCGACCGCAUGUAAUUUAAAUACCAAUAUUGUUGUUUCGCCUGAAGUUGGUGUUGUCCAAAAAUACACUGCAUAUACACUGGAGCAACCACGCCUAAGUUCCGGAGAUGAACAACCACUUGUAGAAGUUAAGUUAAUGCACGAUGAUGUGUUGCAGUGCAUAGGAAAAGAUGAGAGACAUGUUCAAAUUGAGAUGAUAAUUGCUACUGGGAUGGACGUGCAUGCAUCUGACGGAAAUCAGGAAAAAGAAUAUUCUAAUUAUUUUGGUAAGCCACGUUUUGAAGGGGGGUUCAAGGAGUCUAGGUUUGAUCUUGUGUGUUUGCUUGCCAAGGUUACUUGCUCCAUUAGGAUUAUUAAAACAAGAAGAUUAUUGAUGUUUCUUUUCCUGCCCAGCAAGGAAAAGAUCAACGUGAGGAUUCUGUUUAGGAAACGAUUCAGCUUGAAGGAUGUUGGGUGGGGCCCACCAGCACUGGUGCAACGCAUGCCUCAAACUAGUAGUUUUUGUUUUCCUAUAAAUAGAUCUAGUCGGUUUAUCUUAUGCUUACCUUUUAUUUAAAGUACGUACCAAGUGCUUGUUUUCCAAGCUAGUUAUGAUGUGUGGCUAUUAUAUAAAGCCAAUUGAGUCAUUUGUAAAGGGAGGUUAUUUUAUAUAAAAUAGACACGAUGUGUUUUUCAGGGUAGACACCCGUAUCAAGUUUUGGAGGGAUCUUUAGAAAACCUCUGUGUUGCGAUUUCUCUUCGUGGAAAUUGUUUUGCGCGUGAGUACCUUCGUCGAGAUUGGUUUUCUCGUGCUGGGUCGCAAGGUUCAAACCUUCUACUUCGUGUACAUUGCGUGCGCGGGUGAGAGGUUGCUACUGCUGGUGGUGGAGUGUCGUGAAAGAUCGGGCCCCAACAACGGAUCGGAUCUCACUACGAGGUUCGGUCCACAUCACCACACCACACACACGAAACAAACAUGGACAAAACCCUCAAACGAGGGUGGUGGCCGAGGCCACCAUGUUUGAGUUUACAUGGUAUGGCACCGCGAAGAUAUGAACCUUGGGUCCAAGACCAAUACUCAUCUUUGAAGCACAAGUACCACCUAAAGUGGCUUAUGUGAAAGAUUGUGUUUGUUUUAUGCACUUCUAGGAUAAGAUAGCUCAUGAGUUGAGCUAGCUCCCCCUAGACAUGUGCCUACAUCUAAGCAAGAUAGUACAUGAGUAUGUGUGUGCGAGCAAGAGUUUCAACCGAAGUUACUAAUAUCCACGAUAUUUAGCUCAUGCCUUAACUCGCGGAAUCUUGCUUCGUCAAGGGGCUUGGUGAAGAUGUCUGCUAGUUGAUUCUCGGUCUUGACAUGGAGUAACUCAAUGUUUCCCUUGGCCACAUGAUCUCUAAUGAAAUGAUGACAAAUCUCAAUAUGCUUGGUCUUGCUAUGUUGAACCGGAUUCUUGGCAAUCUUGAUGGCACUUUCAUUGUCACACCAAAGAGGCACUUUGUCACAUUUGAGACCGUAAUCCAUCAAAGUUUGCCUCAUCCAUAGUAAUUGGGCACAACAACUUCCGGUAGCAAUAUACUCGACUUCGGCUGUGGAGAGAGAUAUACAAUUUUGCUUCUUUGAAGACCAACUUACCAACGAUCCCCCUAGGAAUUGACAUGAGCCGGAUGUGGACUUGCGAUCAACCUUGUCUCCGGCCCAAUCCGAAUCCGAGUAACCCAUUAACUCAAAUGAUGAUCCCUUGGGAUACCAAAGGCCCAAGUUUAGGGUAUGAACCAAAUAUCGAAGGAUCCUUUUCACUGCCGAAUAGUGGCUCUCCUUAGGAGCGGAUUGAAAUCUUGCACACAUACACACACUCAACAUAAUAUCUGGCCUAGAUGCACAAAGGUAAAGCAAGGAACCGAUCAUAGAGCGAUAUACCUUUUGAUCCACUUCUUUACCAUUUGAAUCAAGAUGAAGUUGACCAUUUGCGGCCAUGGGUGUCUUCAUUGUCUUGACUAAUUGCAUUUUGAAUCUCUUGAGCAUGUCUUGGAUAUAACGAGAUUGAUUGAUGAAGGUUCCGCCUCUCAAUUGCUUCACUUGAAACCCGAGAAAGAACUUCAACUCUCCCAUCAUGCUCAUCGCAAAUUCCUUAGUCAUAAGAUUCUCAAACUCAACAUUAAUAGCAUGGUUAGUUGACCCAAAGAUAAUAUCAUCAACAUAUAUUUGGCAGACAAACAACUCUCCUUUUACCCUCUUCGUAAAGAGAGUGGAAUCUAUUACCCCAAUCUGGAACCCCUUCUCGCUUAGGAACGCCGUAAGGUGAUCAUACCAAGCACGAGGUGCUUGUUUGAGUCCAUAGAGUGCCUUAUGGAGUUCAUAAACGUGAGAGGGAUGAUCGGGGUCUUCAAAACCGGGAGGUUGCUUGACAUACACCAACUCCUUAAGAGGACCAUUAAGAAAUGCACUCUUAGCAUCCAUUCGAUAUAAUUUGAAAUCAUGAUGAGAGGCAUAAGCAAGCAAGAUGCGAAUGGAUUCGAGACGGGCAACGGGGGAAAAAGUUUCACCAAAGUCCAAACCUUCAACUUGGGUGAAACCUUGUGCCACUAACCUUGCCUUGUUUCUUAUUACUUGUCCAUAUUCAUCUUGUUUGUUCUUGAAAAUCCACUUUGUUCCAAUGACAUUAUAAAAUUCCUUGGGUCUUUCUACAAGGGUCCACACUUUGUUGCGUGUGAAGUUGUUGAGUUCUUCAUGCAUGGCAUCUAUCCAAUCCGGAUCGUCAAGGGCAUCUUCCACCUUAAGGGGUUCAACACAAGAGACAAACGAGUGAUGUUCACAAAAGUUUGCCAAACGUCUACGAGUAGUUACCCCCUUUUUGAUGCUUCCGUAGAUGUUCUCGGUGAGGUGUUGAAGAUGUUUUAGCUUGGCAGCCACUUUUUGCUCUUUGCGGUCAAGUUCUUCUUCACUUGGUUUUGGACUUGAUGAAGAAGCUUGCCCUUGAGAUUUCUUUAGCCUUGGAGACACUCUUCUCUUUGCAACCACAGGUUCUUGCUCAGUAGGAAGUGAUGACGAUGAAGACACUUGUGGUUGGGGUUGAUAUAGAUCUUGAUCAUGACUUUGAGCUUGAUCUUGAGCCUCAACGAUUGGUUCUUCAUUAUUCGGAAGAGUUUGCUCUUGAUCUUGCUCAGGAAUAUGAGGGUCUUGAUCUUGUUCUUGGAUAGGUUCAUUACUUCCCAAGGCAUCUUGUACAAGAGGUGUCGGUGAUGACUUCCCUUGUGGAAAAUCCUCAAGAGGGGCUCUUACUCCUUCUUCUUCUACUUGGACAUGGGGUGUUUCUUGUGGGAGAAUGUGGCCUAUCCCCAUUGUCCUUAUAGCUUGUGAAGGAGCCUCAUCACCUACAACACCAGGAACAAUUUGCUCCAUGCGAGAGCCAUUAUCUUCAUCAAACUCCACAUUUACCGUUUCCUCAAUGCAUCCAGUGGAUUUAUUGAGAACUCGGUAAGCAUGAGAGUUUGAUGCAUAUCCAACAAUAUGCCCUCAUAAGUUCUAGACUCAAAUUUAGCUAACCGGGAUUUUUUGUUUAAAAUGAAACACUUACAACCGAAUACUCGAAAGUAUUUGAUGUUGGGCUUUAUCCCAAUUAGGAGCUCAUAAGGGGUCUUGUUCUUGAGCUUGCGAAGAUAAAGCCGGUUUGAAGCAUGGCACGCGGUGUUGAUGGCUUCUACCCAAAGCUUGUAUGGUGAUUUGUACUCAUCAAGCUGUUGGGGAACGUAGUAAUUUCGGAAAUUUUCCUACGCACACGCAAGAUCAUGGUGAUGCAUAGCAACGAGGGGGAGAGUAUUGUCUACGUACCAACGCAGACCGACUGCGGAAGCGAUCUCACAACGUAGAGGAAGUAGUCGUACGUCUUCUUCCCGAUCCGACCGAUCCAAGCACCGUUACUCCGGCACCUCCGAGUUCUUAGCACACGUUCAGCUCGAUGACGAUCCUCGGGCUCCGAUCCAGCAAAGCGUCGAGGAAGAGUUCCGUCAGCACAAUGGCGUGGUGACGAUCUUGAUGUACUACCGACGCAGGGCUUCGCCUAAGCACUACAACGGUAUGAUCGAGGUGGAAUUUGGUGGCAGGGGGCACCGCACACGGCUAAGGAACGAUCUCAAGGAUCAACUUGUGUGUCUUGGGGUGCCCCUGCCCCCCGUAUAUAAAGGUUGGAGGAGGGGAGCCGGCCGGCCAAGGGAGAGGAGGCGCAGGGGAGUCCUACUCCCACCGGGAGUAGGACUCCUCCCCCCAAUCCUAAUCCUAUUAGGACUCCCGGGGGGAAAAGGAGAGAGAAGGGGGGCCGGCCCCUAUCCUAGUCCUACUAGGACUUUGGGAAGGGGGGCGCCGGCCAGCUUGUGGGCUUUCCCUUUUUCUCCUUUUCCACUAAGGCCCAAUAGGCCCAUUAGUCUCCCGGGGGGUUCCGGUAACCCUCCCGGUAUUCCGGUAAAAUCCCGAUUUCACCCGGAACACUUCCGAUGUCCAAACAUAGGCUUACAAUAUAUCAAUCUUUACGUCUCGACCAUUUCGAGACUCCUCGUCAUGUCCGUGAUCUCAUCCGGGACUCCGAACAACCUUCGGUACAUCAAAAUGCAUAAACUCAUAAUAACUGUCAUCGUAACGUUAAGCGUGCGGACCCUACGGUUCGAGAACAAUGUAGACAUGACCGAGACACGUCUCUGGUCAAUAACCAAUAGCGGGACCUGGAUGCCCAUAUUGGCUCCUACAUAUUCUACGAAGAUCUUUAUCAGCCAGACCGCAUAACAACAUACGUUGUUCCCUUUGUCAUCGGUUUGUUACUUGCCCGAGAUUCGAUCGUCGGUAUCCAAUACCUAGUUCAAUCUCGUUACCGGCAAGUCUCUUUACUCGUUCCGUAAUACAUCAUCUCACAACUAACACAUUAGUUGCAGUGCUUGCAAGGCUUAUGUGAUGUGCAUUACCGAGAGGGCCCAGAGAUACCUCUCCGACAAUCGGAGUGACAAACCCUAAUCUCGAAAUACGCCAACCCAACAUCUACCAUUGGAGACACCUGUAGUACUCCUUUAUAAUCACCCAGUUACGUUGUGACGUUUGGUAGUACCCAAAGUGUUCCUCCGGUAAACGGGAGUUGCAUAAUCUCAUAGUUAUAGGAACAUGCAUAAGUCAUGAAGAAAGCAAUAGCAACAUACUAAACGAUCGGGUGCUAAGCUAAUGGAAUGGGUCAUGUCAAUCAGAUCAUUCUACUAAUGAUGUGACCUCGUUAAUCAAAUAACAACUCCUUGUUCAUGGUUAGGAAACAUAACCAUCUUUGAUUAACGAGCUAGUCAAGUAGAGGCAUACUAGUGACACUCUGUUGGUCUAUGUAUUCACACAUGUAUUAUGUUUCCGGUUAAUACAAUUCUAGCAUGAAUAAUAAACAUUUAUCAUGAUAUAAGGAAAUAAAUAAUAACUUUAUUAUUGCCUCUAGGGCAUAUUUCCUUCAGUCUCCCACUUGCACUAGAGUCAAUAAUCUAGUUCACAUCGCCAUGUGAUUUAGCAGCAAUGGUUCACAUCACCAUGUGAUUAACACCCAUAGUUCACAUCGUCAUGUGACCAACACUCAAAGGGAUUACUAGAGUCAGCAAUCUAGUUCACAUAUCUAUGUGAUUAACACCCAAAGAGUACUAAGGUGUGAUCAUGUUUUGCUUGUGAGAUAAUUUUAGUCAACGGGUCUGUCACAUUCAGAUCCGUAAGUAUUUUGCAAGUUCUAUGUCUACAAUGCUCUACACGGAGCUACUCUAGCUAAUUGCUCCCACUUUCAAUAUGUAUCCAGAUUUAGAAUCAUCUGGAUCAGUGUCAAAAAACUUGCAUCGACGUAACCCUUUACGACGAACCUUUUUGUCACGUCCAUAAUCGAGAAACAUUUCCUUAUUUCACUAAGGAUAAUUCUGACCGCUGUCCAGUGAUCUACUCCUAGAUCACUAUUGUACUCCCUUGCCAAAUCAGUGCAGGGUAUACAAUAGAUCCGGUACACAGCAUGGCAUACUUUAUAGAACCUAUGAAUGAGGCAUAGGGAAUGACUUUCAUUCUCUUUCUAUCUUCUGCCGUGGUCGGGCUUUGAGUCUUUACUCAACUUCACACCUUGUAACACAGGCAAGAAACUUUUUCUUUGACUGUUCCAUUUUGAACUACUUCAAAAUCUUGUCAAGGUAUGUACUUAUUGAAAAACUUAUCAAGUGUCUUGAUCUAUCUCUAUAGAUCUUGAAGCUCAAUAUGUAAGCAGCUUUACCGAAGUCUUUCUUUGAAAAACUCCUUUCAAACACUCCUUUUAUGCUUUACAGAAUAAUUCUACAUUAUUUCCGAUCAACAAUAUGUCAUUCACAUAUACUUAUCAGAAAUGCUGUAGUGCUCCCACUCACUUUCUCGUAAAUACAGGCUUCACCGCAAGUCUGUAUAAAACUAUAUGCUUUGAUCAACUCAUCAAAGCGUAUAUUCCAACUCCGAGAUGCUUGCACCAGUCCACAGAUGGAUCGCUGGUGCUUGCACAUUUUGUUAGCACCUUUUGGAUUGACAAAACCUUCUGGUUGCAUCAUAUACAACUUUUCUUUAAUAAAUCCAUUAGGGAAUGCAGUUUUGUUUAUCCGUUUGCCAGAUUUCAUAAAACGCGACAAUUACUAACAUGAUUCGGACAGACUUAAGCAUAGAUACGAGUGAGAAAAUCUCAUCGUAGUCAACACCUUGAACUUGUCGAAAACCUUUUGCGACAAUUCUAGCUUUGUAGAUAGUAACACUACUAUCAGCGUCCGUCUUCCUCUUGAAGAUCCAUUCAUUUUCUAUGGCUUGCCGAUCAUCGGGCAAGUCAACUAAAGUCCAUACUUUGUUCUCAUACAUGGAUCAUAUCUCAGAUUUCAUGGCUUCAAGCCACUUUGCGGAAUCUGGGCUCACCAUCGCUUCUUCAUAGUUCGUAGGAUCAUCAUGAUCUAGUAGCAUGACUUCCAGAACAGGAUUACCGUACCACUCUGGCGCGGAUCUUACUCUGGUUGAUCUACGAGGUUCAGUAGUGUCUUGUUCUGAAGUUUCAUGAUCAUCAUCAUUAGCUUCCUCACUAACUGGUGUAGGUGUCACAGAAACAUUUUUCUGUGAUGUACUACUUUCCAAUAAGGGAGCAGGUACAGUUACCUCGUUAAGUUCUACUUUCCUCCCACUCACUUCUUUCGAGAGAAACUCCUUCUCCAGAAAGUUUCCGAAUUUUAGCAACAAAAGUCUUGCCUUCGGAUCUGUGAUAGAAGGUUUAUCCAAUAGUUUCCUUUGGAUAUCCUAUGAAGACGCACUUCUCCGAUUUGAGUUUGAGCUUAUCAGGAUGAAACUUUUUCAUAUAAGCAUCGCAACCCCAAAUUUUUAAGAAACGACAGCUUAGGUUUCUUGCCAAACCAUAGUUCACACGGUGUCGUCUCAACGGAUUUAGAUGGUGCCCUAUUUAACGUGAAUGCAGCUGUCUCUAAUGCAUAACCCCAAAACGAUAGUGGUAGAUCGGUAAGAUACAUCAUAGAUUGCACUAUAUCCAAUAAAGUACGGUUAUGACGUUCGGACACGCCAUUAUGCUGUGGUGUUCCAUGUGGCAUGAUUUUGUGAAACUAUUCCACAUUGUUUUAAUUGAAGACCAAACUCGUAACUCAAAUAUUUUACCUCUGCGAUCAUAUCGUAGAAACUUUUAUUUUCUUGUCACGAUGAUUUUCCACUUCACUCUAAAAUUCUUUGAACUUUUCAAAUGUUUCAGACUUAUGUUUCAUCAAGUAGAUAUACUCAUAUCUGCUCAAAUCAUCUGUGAAGAUCAGAAAAUAAUGAUACCUGUCGCGAGCCUCAAUAUUCAUCGGACCACAUACAUCAGUAUGUAUGAUUUCCAAUAAACCUUUUUCGCUCCAUUGUUCCGGAGAACGGCGUUUUAGUCAUCUUGCCCAAAAGGCAUGGUUCGCAAGCAUCAAGUGAUUCAUAAUCAAGUGAUUCCGAAAGCCCAUCAGCAUGGAGUUUCUUCAUGCGCUUUAUACCAAUAUGACCUAAACAGCAGUGCCACAAAUAAGUUGCACUAUCAUUAUUAACUUUGCAUCUUUUGGUUUCAAUAUUAUGAAUAUGUGUAUUAUUAAGAUCGAGAUCCAAUGAACUAUUUUCAUUGGGUGUGUAACCAUAUAAGGUUUUAUUCAUGUAAAGAGAACAACAAUUUAUUCUUUUACUUAAAUGAAUAACCGUAUUACAAUAAACAUGAUCAAAUCAUAUUCAUGCUCAACGCAAAAACCAAAUAACACUUAUUUAAGUUCAACAUUAAUCCCGAAAGUAUAGGGGAGUGUGCGAUGAUGAUCAUAUCAAUCUUGGAACUACUUCCAACACACAUCGUCACUUCACCCUUAACUAGUCUCUGUUUAUUCUGCAACUCCCGUUUCGAGUUACUAAUCUUAGCAACUGAACUAGCAUCGAAUACUGAGGGGUUGCUAUAAACACUAGUAUAGUACACAUCAAUAACAUGUAUAUCAAAUAUACUGUUGUUCACUUUGCCAUCCUACUUAUCCGCCAAUCACUUGGGGUAGUUCCGCUUCCAGUGACCAGUCCCUUUGCAGUAGAAUCACUUAGUCUCAGGCUUAGGAUCAGAUUUGAGCUUCUUCACUUGAGCAGCAACUUGCUUGCCGUUCUUCUUGAAGUUCCCCUUCUUCCCUUUGCCAUUUUCUUGAAACUAGUGGUCUUGUCAACCAUCAACACUUGAUGUUUUUCUUGAUUUCUACCUUCGUUGAUUUCAGCAUCACGAAGAGCUUGGGAGUUGUUUCCGUUAUCCCUUGCAUAUUAUAGUUCAUCACGAAGUUCUACUAACUUAGUGAUGAUGACUAGAGAAUUCUGUCAAUCACUAUUUUAUCUGGAAGAUAAACUCCCACUUGAUUCAAGCGAUUGUAGUACCCAGACAAUCUGAGCACAUGCUCACUAGUUGAGCGAUUCUCCUCCAUCUUUUAGCUAUAGAACUUGCUGGAGACUUCAUGUCUCUCAACUCGGGUAUUUGCUUGAAAUAUUAACUUCAACUCCUGGAACAUCUCAUAUGGUCCAUGACGUUCAAAACGUCUUUGAAGUCCCGAUUCUAAGCUGUUAAGCAUGGUGCACUAAACUAUCAAGUAGUCAUCAUAUUGAGCUAGCCAAACGUUCAUAACGUCUGCAUCUGCUCCUGCAAUAGGUCUGUCACCUAGCGGUGCAUCAAGGACAUAAUUCUUCUGUGCAGCAAUGAGGAUAAACCUCAGAUCACGGAUCCAAUCCGCAUCAUUGCUACUAACAUCUUUCAACACAAUUUUCUCUAGGAACAUAUCAAAAUAAACAUAGGGAAGCAACAACGCGAGCUAUUGAUCUACAACAUGAUUUGCAAGAUACUACCAGGACUAAGUUCAUGAUAAAUUUAAGUUCAAUUUAAUUAUAUUACUUAAGAACUCCCACUUAGAUAGACAUCCCUCUAAUCCUCUAAGUGAUCACGUGAUCCAAAUCAACUAAACCAUAACCGAUCAUCACGUGAGAUGGGGUAGUUUUCAAUGGUGAACAUCAAUAUGUUGAUCAUAUAUACUAUAUGAUUCACGCUCGACCUUUCGGUCUCCGUGUUCCGAGGCCAUAUCUGUAUAUGCUUGGCUCGUCAAGUAUAACCUGAGUAUUCUGCGUGUGCAACUUUUUUGCACCCGUUGUAUUUGGACGUAGAGCUUAUCACACCCGAUCAUCACGUGGUGUCUGGGCACGACGAACUUUGGCAACGGUGCAUACUCAGGGAGAACACUUCUUGAUAAUUUAGUGAGAGAUCAUCUUAUAAUGCUACCGUCAAUCAAAGCAAGAUAAGAUGCAUAAAAGGAUAAACAUCACAUGCAAUCAAUAUAAGUGAUAUGAUAUGGCCAUCAUCUUCUUGUGCUUGUGAUCUCCAUCUCCGAAGCACCAUCAUGAUCACCAUCGUCACCGGCGCGACACCUUGAUCUCCAUCGUAGCAUCGUUGUCGUCUCGCCAAUCUUAUGCUUCCACGACUAUCACUACCGCUUAGUAAUAAAGUAAAGCAUUACAUCGCGAUUGCAUUUCAUACAAUAAAGCGAGAACCAUAUGGCUCCUGCCAGUUGCUGAUAACUCGGUUACAAAACAUGAUCAUCUCAUACAAUAAAAUCAGCAUCAUGCUUUGACCAUAUCACAUCACAACAUGCCCUGCAAAAACAAGUUAGACGUCCUCUACUUUGUAGUUGCAAGUUUUACGUGGCUGCUACGGGCUUAAGUAAGAACUCAUCUCACCUACGCAUCAAAACCACAACGAUAGUUCGUCAAAUAGACUCCGUUUUAACCUUCUCAAGGACCGGGCGUAGUCACACUUGGUUCAACUAAAGUUGGAGAGACAGUCUUCCGCAAGCCAUCUGUGUGCAUAGCACGUCGAGGGAACCGGUCUCGCGUAAGAGUACGCGUAAGGUUGGUCCGGAUCGUCUUGUCCAACAAUACCGCCGAACCAAAGUAUGACAUGCUGGUAGGCAGUAUGACUUGUAUCGCCCACAACUCACUUGUGUUCUACUCGUGCAAAUAACAUCAAACCAUAAAAACCUAGGCUCGGAUGCCACUGUUGGGGAACGUAGUAAUUUCGAAAAUUUUCCUACGCACACGCAAGAUCAUGGUGAUGCAUAGCAACGAGGGGGAGAGUAUUGUCUACGUACCAACGCAGACCGACUGCGGAAGCGAUCUCACAACGUAGAGGAAGUAGUCGUACGUCUUCUUCCCGAUCCGACCGAUCCAAGCACCGUUACUCCGGCACCUCCGAGUUCUUAGCACACGUUCAGCUCGAUGACGAUCCUCGGGCUCCGAUCCAGCAAAGCGUCGAGGAAGAGUUCCGUCAGCACAACGGCGUGGUGACGAUCUUGAUGUACUACCGACGCAGGGCUUCGCCUAAGCACUACAACGGUAUGAUCGAGGUGGAAUUUGGUGGCAGGGGGCACCGCACACGGCUAAGGAACGAUCUCAAGGAUCAACUUGUGUGUCUUGGGGUGCCCCUGCCCCCGUAUAUAAAGGUUGGAGGAGGGGAGCCGGCCGGCCAAGGGAGAGGAGGCGCAGGGGAGUCCUACUCCCACCGGGAGUAGGACUCCUCCCCCCAAUCCUAAUCCUAUUAGGACUCCCGGGGGGAAAAGGAGAGAGAAGGGGGGCCGGCCCCUAUCCUAGUCCUACUAGGACUUUGGGAAGGGGGGCGCCGGCCAGCUUGUGGGCUUUCCCUUUUUCUCCUUUUCCACUAAGGCCCAAUAGGCCCAUUAGUCUCCCGGGGGGUUCCGGUAACCCUCCCGGUAUUCCGGUAAAAUCCCGAUUUCACCCGGAACACUUCCGAUGUCCAAACAUAGGCUUCCAAUAUAUCAAUCUUUACGUCUCGACCAUUUCGAGACUCCUCGUCAUGUCCGUGAUCUCAUCCGGGACUCCGAACAACCUUCGGUACAUCAAAAUGCAUAAACUCAUAAUAACUGUCAUCGUAACGUUAAGCGUGCGGACCCUACGGUUCGAGAACAAUGUAGACAUGACCGAGACACGUCUCCGGUCAAUAACCAAUAGCGGGACCUGGAUGCCCAUAUUGGCUCCUACAUAUUCUACGAAGAUCUUUAUCGGUCAGACCGCAUAACAACAUACGCUGUUCCCUUUGUCAUCGGUAUGUUACUUGCCCGAGAUUCGAUCGUCGGUAUCCAAUACCUAGUUCAAUCUCGUUACCGGCAAGUCUCUUUACUCGUUCCGUAAUACAUCAUCUCACAACUAACACAUUAGUUGCAGUGCUUGCAAGGCUUAUGUGAUGUGCAUUACCGAGAGGGCCCAGAGAUACCUCUCCGACAAUCGGAGUGACAAACCCUAAUCUCGAAAUACGCCAACCCAACAUCUACCAUUGGAGACACCUGUAGUACUCCUUUAUAAUCACCCAGUUACGUUGUGACGUUUGGUAGUACCCAAAGUGUUCCUCCGGUAAACGGGAGUUGCAUAAUCUCAUAGUUAUAGGAACAUGUAUAAGUCAUGAAGAAAGCAAUAGCAACAUACUAAACGAUCGGGUGCUAAGCUAAUGGAAUGGGUCAUGUCAAUCAGAUCAUUCUACUAAUGAUGUGACCUCAUUAAUCAAAUAACAACUCCUUGUUCAUGGUUAGGAAACAUAACCAUCUUUGAUUAACGAGCUAGUCAAGUAGAGGCAUACUAGUGACACUCUGUUGGUCUAUGUAUUCACACAUGUAUUAUGUUUCCGGUUAAUACAAUUCUAGCAUGAAUAAUAAACAUUUAUCAUGAUAUAAGGAAAUAAAUAAUAACUUUAUUAUUGCCUCUAGGGCAUAUUUCCUUCACAAGCAUGGUCCUAGCCAUCUCAAUAAGAGUCCGAUUCUUCCUCUCCGCAACACCAUUUUUUUGGGGAGUAUAUGGUGCGGCAUAUUGGUGCUUUAUCCCUUCUUCACUCAAGAAUUCAUCCAUUGUAUAGUUUUUGAACUCGGUGCCAUUGUCACUUCGGAUUGCCUUGAUCUCAUAGUUAUGUUGACGUUGAGCUUCUUUGGCAAAGUUGAUGAAGGUUUCUUGAGUUUCAUCUUUAGUCUUGAGAAAGAACACCCAAGUAUAUCUUGUGAAGUCAUCAACAAUGACAAGGCAAUAUCUCCUUCCUCCCAAACUAUCAUAUGUUGGAGGCCCAAAUAGAUCCAAAUGGAUAAGCUCGAGAGGCCUCAAGGUGGUGAUGAUAGUCUUCACUUUAUGAGCUUUUUCAUGAAGCUUUUCGGCAAUGCAAGCACUACAAGGACGAUCUUUGGCAAAAGACACAUUGGUUAGUCCAAGAAUGUGCUCCCCCUUUAAGAGAGCUUGUAAAUUUCUCAUGCCCAUGUGGGCUAGCCUACGGUGCCAUAGCCACCCCACGCCGGCCUUGGCCAUUAGGCAUGUUGCAAGAUGAGUUUUCUCUUUCGAGAAAUCAACCACGUAAAGGUUGUCUUCAACAUGCCCAACAAAGACCACUUUGAGAUUGCUCCUCUUAAAGACGGUCACAUGGAAUUCACCAAAAUGUGAAUCAUAUCCGGCACGAGCCAAUUGAAUAGUUGAAAGUAAAUUGUAGUGAAGGGAUUGGACAAGCAUGACAUUUGCAAGAGAUGAAUCAUUAGAGAUUACCACCUUGCCCAAACCCAAUACAUUUCCCUUGCUAUUAUCACCGAAGGAGAUGUUCGAAGAGGCCUUGAGUGAAUCAACGAACUCCACAAGCAUCUCCCUUUAUCCGGUCAUAUGAUUGGUGCAUCCACUGUCGAUCACCCAUUGAGUUCCACCGGAGAUAUAGUCCUACAAUAAUCAAGCUUUGGUUAUAGGUACCCAUUUUGCAAUGGGUCCUGGUGAGUUAGCAACAAGGGUCUUGGGAACCCAAAUAGUCCAAGCAUAAUCAUCAUAGUUAGUUCCAACAAAUUUUGCAAAGGUAUAGCCAUCAUCUCCUCUCAUGAGAACAUAUGAUGGAUUGUUCUUGCCGGCAAAAUUCUUGGGAAUAGCCUUGUCCCUAAUGACCUUACCAUUCCCAACACCCUUCAUUUCCUUCUCCUUCUCCUUGUGCCCUUCUUGCACAAACACUACCUUUUUGGGAGGGGAAGGAGUCGGACCGAUUAAACCCAACUCCCUCCUUGGCAACACAUUCCUUUUGGUUGCUCAAGAGAUCGUUUAGGUUUUUCUCCCCUUGGAUGCAUGAUACAAGCCCUUUCUCAAUUUGAGCUUUCAACUUCUUAUUUUCCUCUUGAAGGGAGGUGCAAUCAUGAGUAAAGUUAGCCGUAGAAGCAUCAUCAUUUUAAUCAAUAUGAGGUACGGAAGUGAGAGCCUUAAUGGUUGUAGAUUUUAAUUGAGCAUAAGACUCGUUGAGAGCAAUGAGGUCACCUUUGACAACCUUGGAACUAAUCACAAGGAACUCAUGCUCCUCAACAAGUCUUGUAUGGUCAAUUAGAAGUUUUUCAACUCUAACGUUAAGAGCAUCUUUAUUCUCAAGAGCAAGUUACAAAGCAUCAUUGGUUUUAACAAAGUCAAUUUGAUGAGCAGAUAAGGCUUCCUCAAGUGAUGCUCUCAUGACACUCUCUUCAUUAAGUUCAUGCUCGAGGAGAUCAACUCUCUCUUUUUCCUCUAUAAGGAGGUUCUCAACGUUCUCAAUAAAGUCAUCGCGUUCGGCGAGUGACUUAAGGAGAUCACUAAAACGAGCACGAGCUUCACCAUGAAGAGUUUUCAUGAAAGCCAUUAAGGAUUCCUCAUCAUUAUCCACACCCUCCUCACACUCAUCCUCCACUAUCUCACAUGAGACAUUGGGAGUGUAGUUGUCGGGUCUCUUGGGUUUGGACUUUGUUUUUACCUCUUUGUCCAUGAGGCAUCGAUGAGUGAAUGGCUUGUCCUCGUUUGGAGAGUCAAAGAGCCCGGUGGUGGAGGAGGAGGUAGUGGCAUGCAUGGCGAAGGCGGCCGUGCCCACUUGAUCAUCAUCACCGUCAUCUUCAUCUCCAGACAUGUAUUCUUCAUGAACAAGAGCCUUGUCAUCCUUCCUCUUUGCAAACUUGGUGAACUUAUUCUUCUUAAGCACAAGCUUCUCGUACUUGUCUUCACGUCUCUCAUAUGGACAAUCAUGAACAAAGUGUCUUGGGCUAUCACAAUUGUAGCAUUUCCUUCGUCCAAAAGAUCUUCCUUGAAGAUUUCUUCCUUUGUUUGCCAUGGUCCCGGAGUACUUCUUGACUAAGAGAGUCAAGUCUUCUGCAAAAUCAUUUGCCGGGCACGAGGUAUCAUUAUCCUCCUCACAUAUCUCUUCACUCACUUCUUCCUCCCUUGAGGGUUGUCUCAUCAUUUUCUUGGCCUUCAAGGCAAGAUUGGAGUUCUUGGUUGCUUGAGAUAUUGCAAAUUUUUUCUUGGACUUGGUUUCCAAAAGAACAUGGGUAGAGAAGGUGGAAACAACUUGAGCCGAAGUCAACUUGUGAUAGUCUGGACGUUGAUGAACCAUCAUGACCAUGGUAUGUUCUGUGAGAACCAUAGCAUCCAUGAACUUGUCCUUGAUGAAUUCAUCAUUUGCCCAAGUGCACCCAAAGGUUCUCAAGUUGAGCACAAGGGACUUCAACCUUCGGUAAACCUCUUCUGCGGACUCACCCUCAUUCCUCACAAAGAGAUUGACUUCUUGUUUGAGCAAGGCCAACCGAGAUCUUCAAAUUGCUUCAUCUCCUUCAAGAGCCUCCUCAAGGCAAUCCCAAAUUUCCUUUGCGGUUUUGAGAAGAGCAAUGGAAUCACUAUAGUCUUCAGUCACUGCGUUGCGAAGCAUGUUGUGUGCGGUAGCAUUGAGUUGAUCGUCAACUGCUUCCCUUGGAGUGAGAUUCAUUGGGUCCUUGGGGUUGAAUCCAUUAACCACAAUCCACCACAAUUGAGUUGAAGCACUGCACAUGCGAGACUCCAUAUCUAGCUUCCACUUAGCAAACGCAUUAGCUUUCAAAGGGGGCGGAGGCCCAACAGGAUUAAUGCGGGGAUGUUGUGUAACGCCCUCGAUGCGGCUAUGUCUCCCACGUGUCGAGGCACGACUUAGAGACAUAGGCGCAUGGAAAGCAAUGUCGCAAGUCGGGAAUCAUUACACAACCCAAGUACAUAUAUAAUAUAAAGGGGAAAUAAUAAUAUAGUUGGCUUACACUCGCCACGUCACAUCAAAGUACAUAAAUAACAUCCAUCAUACAAUCACUCAUGGCCCGACUACGGCGCCAAAAUAGAAAAGACCCCCAACAAGCGACUAGGCCCUGAAUCUAACCCCGAAUAGGCACCACUACUGAUCAUCAGGAAACGACACAUAGUAACGCUGAGAGUCCUCGUCGUACUCCCACUUCAGCUCGAGCGCGCCAUCCGGAGAAGUAUCAUCGGUCCCUGCAUCUGGUGUAAUAGUAAUCUGUGAGCCACAAAGGACUCAGCAAUCUCGCACCCUCGCGAUCAAGACUAUUUAAGCUUAAUAGGUAGGAAAGGGGUAAUGUAAGUGGAGCUGCAGCAAGCGACUAGCAUAUAUGGUGGCUAACUUAUUCGCAAAGUAGAGCGAGAAGAGGAGGCAAAGUAUGAGCGGAAAACUAUAUAGAGCAGCCUACGCAAACAUAACUCCAACGCCGUGUCCACUUCCCGGACUCCGCCGAGAAGAGGCCAUCACGGCAACACACUUAGUUGAUUCAUUUUAAUUAUUUAGGGUUCAAGUUAUCUACAAACGGACAUUAUCAAAUUCCCAUCUGCCCAUAACCGCGGGCACGGCUUUCGAAAGAUCAAUCCCUGCAGGGGGGUCCCAACUUAGCCCAUAACAAGCUCUCACGGUCAACGAAGGAAUAGACCUCCACCCAGGACCCACCGAUCAGACUCGGUAUCCCGGUACAACAAGAUGAUUCGACAGGUCAAAACUAGUCCAGCAACACCGCCCGAAUGUGCCGACAAAUCCCGAUAGGAGCUGCACAUAUCUCUUUCUCAAGGCACGCUCGGAUAGGUCAAGCUACGAGUAAAACCAACCCUCGAGUUUCCCCGAGGUGGCCCCGCAGGCUGCCUGGUUCGGACCAACACUCAGAGGAGCACUGGCCCGUGGGGGACUAAAAUAAAGAUGACCCUCGGGCUCCGGAAACCCAAGGGAAAAAAGAGGCUAGGUGGCAAAUGGUAAAACCAAUGUUGGGCAUUGCUGGAAAAGCUUUAAUCAAGCCGAACUAUCAAGGGGUUCCCAUUAUAGCCCAACCGCGUAAGGGACGCAACAAUCCGGGAACAUAACACCGAUAUGACGGAAACUAGGGCGGCAAGAGUGGAACAAAACACUAGGUGAGAGGCCGAGCCUUCCACCCUUUACCAAGUAUAUAGAUGAAUAAAGAUAACAUAGCAAUAUAAUGAUAUCCCAACAAUUAAAUAAAUGUUCCAACAAGGAACGGCUCCAAUCUUCACCUGCAACUAGCAACGCUAUAAGAAGGGGCUUGAGCAAAGCGGUGACAUAGCCAAUCAAUGGUUUGCUAGGACAAAGGUGUGUUAGAGGCUCAAUCAUGGAAAUUGGGAGGCUGACAAGCAAGUGGUAGGCAUCGUAGCAUUGGCAAAGCAAAAGAGCGAGCAAACUAGCAUAACAAAGAUAGUAGUGAUUUCAAGGGUGUGAUCAUCUUGCCUGCACAGUUGUCAGAAUUGACUGGAUCCUCAAAAGCAAACUCAACGGGCUCCUCGUUAGCGAACUCGUCUCCCGGCUCUACUUAACAACACAAACAAGCAACAAGGAUACAAUCAACCACGUGCAAGGGCAACCAAUAAUAUGCAAAGAUGAUAUGCUAUGUGGGAUGCGAUGCGGGAUGCAAAAAUGCAAGAUGUAACAGGAAAUGCAUGAACCUGGCCUCAACUUGGAAAACCAAGUGUGCCACUGGAUAGAGGGGAAGAAAUCCCCUGAAAACGAUAUAAAGAUCAUGGCAAUCGGAGCUACGGUUUAGAAAUGGCAAGCGUUUUACUAAACGAACUGAUCUGCGAUUUACGGCAAGUAGGCUCCUAAAUGCAACAAAAUGAACAUGCUACAGCCACCCAACAUGAAAACAAAUUGCAUGGCAGUGAUGUACUUAAGAAGCUUAACAAAUCACCAGGACUGAGGCAUAGGCAAAUUCAUCCAUUAAGGGCUUCAAACAAGCAUGGCAAAACUGAAUAAGCAAAACAGAUUUCAGACUUAGCGAAAUUAACGCUAGUCUGAAAUUUCAGACCACGAUGCUCUCUUCGGAGCAGCAAAACAACAUGAAGCAAAACCUGAACAUGGCAAGUAAGAGCAUGGCAUGGAGCUACUCAACAAGCUUAACAAAACACCCAAAAUGACCUGGGGCCAAAAGGGUUCACAAAAUACUCUACCGAGCACACGAACAUCGAUGAAACACAAACAGUUUUCAGACUUAGUGAAAACUGGGACAUGCUGAAAUAAUAACUCACAAAGGCAUGUAAACGAGCUCGAUGCACUCACUACGGUGCAAGUCAUGGCAAGGCAAGCAUAUAUCCAUUAAGAAGGCACAAAAUGCUAGCUAGACAUGGCAAGAACAAAGGCAUAGCAUGCAUGGAUCACUAGCAAUAACUCCGGCAAAAUCGCAAAAGAGUUCACGAUCUGCCCAAAACAACAACUAUGCAAAAGUUGAGCUCGAUUGAGUCAACCUAGGUUGCUCCAACAUAACAAGUAAAGACAUGGAUGGAUUAAGCACAACAAGCAUAACAAAUCACUCUUACUGAUCAUCCUCAAAAGAGGCACGGAUCACUAGGAAACAAGCUGGACAUAUAGCAUCGUGAACUAAAACAUCCCAGACUUAGUGAUUAUCACUAAGUCCCUGAAAUCAGUAAACUCAGGUACCCCUCUUCGCAAGCUUGCACAAGACAACACACACAUCCUAAAAAUGCAAGGGAGGCACCUCUGGAAAGAAGACAACAUGCUUAACAGUUCAUCCCAAAGGGGCACAAGCAUAUCAUGCACCGAUUAAACAUGGAAAAAAUGACAAAAGUGCAUGUUGAACUAACGGAUCUGCAAUUUAACUCAUGAUGCCUCCUUCCAACAGCAUUUUGGGCAACAAGGUGACCUCAAAUGCAAAUGAUGCAAUGGAAUGAAAUGAUGUACUCGUCGAGACGAAGAUUUUGAUAUAUCAUAUGCCCAAAUCGGAGCUACGGAUGCAAAGAUAUGGCAGGUCAAAGGUAGCAUAAAAAAUUACGGAAUUAGGGUUUCGGGGGAGAGGUCAACCGAUCCAGAUCUGGAAUCACUGUAGCAGACCGACACUGUUCAUCCGGCGCGCGCGACGAGGAUGGCCGGGAGGAGCUCGCCGGGGCUUGGAUCCGAGGCGGCCGGAGCGGUCUUGGCGGCGCACGCCGGCGCGGGAGGCGGCGGCGGGACGGCGGNNNNNNNNNNNNNNNNNNNNNNNNNNNNNNNNNNNNNNNNNNNNNNNNNNNNNNNNNNNNNNNNNNNNNNNNNNNNNNNNNNNNNNNNNNNNNNNNNNNNNNNNNNNNNNNNNNNNNNNNNNNNNNNNNNNNNNNNNNNNNNNNNNNNNNNNNNNNNNNNNNNNNNNNNNNNNNNNNNNNNNNNNNNNNNNNNNNNNNNNNNNNNNNNNNNNNNNNNNNNNNNNNNNNNNNNNNNNNNNNNNNNNNNNNNNNNNNNNNNNNNNNNNNNNNNNNNNNNNNNNNNNNNNNNNNNNNNNNNNNNNNNNNNNNNNNNNNNNNNNNNNNNNNNNNNNNNNNNNNNNNNNNNNNNNNNNNNNNNNNNNNNNNNNNNNNNNNNNNNNNNNNNNNNNNNNNNNNNNNNNNNNNNNNNNNNNNNNNNNNNNNNNNNNNNNNNNNNNNNNNNNNNNNNNNNNNNNNNNCGGGACGGCGGCGGCGGCGGCGGUGCCCACGUGGUAGGCGGCGGUUGGCCGAGGGGCGCGGCGGCGGACGCGUCCGGCUGGGGCGGACGUGUCCGUCGGUGCGGGGAGGUUUUUUUUAGGAGGAGGACGGGGAGGAAGACGAGAUCCGAAAUGGGGGUGUUUAAAUAGGCAUAAGUGGAGCUAGGAGAGUCCAAAUGAGGUGCGGUUUUCGCCCACACGAUCGUGAUCGAACGACCGAGACGAUGGAGCAGAGUUUGGUGGGUUUUGGGCCAAAAUGGAGGGGUGUUGGGCUGCACACACACGAGGCCUUUUGGGUCCUCGGUUAACCGUUGGAGCAUCAAACGAAGUCCAAAUGACCCGAAACUUGACAGGCGGUCUACCGGUAGUAAACCAAGGCCGCAUGGCAAGUCUCGGUUCAAUCCGGAAAUGUUUAAUCCCCACACACGAAAGAAGCUAGAAAUGGCCACCGGAGGAGAACGAAGCGCCGGAAUGCAAAACGGACAACGGGGAAAAUGCUCGAAUGCAUGAGAUGAACAUGUAUGCAAAUGCAAUGCACAUGAUGACAUGAUAUGAGAUGCACAAAAACAAAAACAACACACGGAGACAAAGACCCGAACCCGAGAAUUAAAUAUAACUUAAUGCCGGAAACGACAAGAGUUGGAGUACAAUUCGGGAAGGUUACAUAUGGGGCGUUACAACACUCCACCACUACGAAAAGAUCUCGUCCCGAGCUCUAGGACUGAAAGAACUCCGGGUACUCAGAACGGAGGUGAUCCUCGCGUUCCCAGGUAGCUUCACGGUCGGAAUGGUGUGACCACUUGACUUUGAGAAACUUGAUUGACUUGUUGCGAGUUUUGCGUUCGGUCUCUUCAAGGAUUGCAACUAGGUGCUCACGGUAGGAGAGAUCUUCUUGGAGCUCAAUGUCCUCGAAGUUGACGGUGCGCUCAGGCGUCUUGAAGCACUUACGGAGUUGCGAGACGUGGAACACAUCAUGAACAUUAGCAAAGGUUGCAGGAAGCUCGAGUUGAUAGGCGAGGUCGCCUCUCUUGCUGACAAUCUUGAAAGGCCCGACGUAUCUGGGGGCAAGCUUCCCUUUGAUACCGAAGCGACGAGUCCCUUUCAUAGGAGAGACGCGGAGGUAGACAUGAUCUCCGAUCUCGAAGGCCAAAUCACGCUGCUUGCUGUCAUAGUAGCUCUUCUGACGAGAUUGGGCUACUUUGAGGUUAUCACGAAUGACCUUGCACAUUUCUUCUGCCUCUGUGAUUAGGUCAUUACCCAGCAGCUGACGUUCACCGGUUUUAGACCAGUUGAGAGGUGUACGGCACUUCCUACCAUACAGAAUUUCAAAUGGGGCCUUGCCGGAGCUUGCUUGGAAACUGUUGUUGUACGAGAAUUCAGCAUAAGGAAGACAAUCCUCCCACUUCAUGCCGAAGGAGAUAACACAAGCCCUGAGCAUAUCUUCAAGAAUCUGGUUGACAUGCUCGACUUGACCGCUUGUUUGAGGGUGGAAAGCAGUGCUGAAGCGAAUGUUGGUGCCCAUGGCCUUCUGAAAAGAAUCCCAGAACUUGGAGGUAAAGAUGCUGCCACGGUCUGAAGAUAUCACUUGAGGAAUACCGUGCAGAGAGACAAUUCGAGAGGUAUAGAGCUCCGCCAAUUGAGCUGCAGUGAUUGACUCUUUGAUAGGCAGGAAAUGAGCCACUUUGGUGAGCUUGUCGAUGACAAUGAAUAUAGCAUCAUUGCCACGCUUGGACUUAGGAAACCCAGUCAUGAAGUCCAUUUCAAUGUGGUCAAACUUCCAUUCUGGAAUGGCGAGAGGUUGGAGGAGACCUGCUGGCCUUUGGUGUUCUGCUUUCACUCUUCUGCAGACAUCACAUUCAUUCACGAAUUGAGCGAUCUCGCGCUUUAUUCGAGUCCACCAAUAAGUUUGCUUCAGAUCUUGAUACAUCUUCGUGCUCCCAGGGUGGAUGGAGAGGAGAGAGUUGUGAGCCUCAUUUAUGAUCACUUUACGAAGUUCACCUUUGGGCACAACAAUUCGAUCCUCGAAGAAGAGAGUGUCCUUGUCAUCAAGUCGGUAGCACUUGUACUUGGACUGACUCUUUGCAAUACCAAUCUUCACCUUUUUCACCAUAGCAUCAAGAAGCUGGGCUUGGCGAAUCUGGUCUUCCAAGGUAGGAGAAACUUGAAGGUUGGCGAGGAAACCUUGAGGAACAACUUGCAGAUUAAGUUUGCGGAAGGCUUCACAAAGCUCGGGUUGAUAAGGCUUGAGAAUCAGACUGUUGCAAUAUGCUUUUUUGCUCAAAGCGUCAGCAAUCACAUUAGCCUUGCCUGGAGUAUACUCGAUACUCGGAUUGUACUCUUAAAUCAUUUCGACCCAUCGAGUCUGCCUGAGGUUGAGAUUAGGCUGAGUGAAGAUGUACUUGAGACUCUUGUGAUCAGUGAAGAUGUCCACUUUUCUUCCCAAGAGAAGAUGUCUCCAAGUCAACAAUGCGUGCACAACUGCCGCCAACUCGAGAUCAUGAGUGGGGUAGUUCUUCUCAUUAGGCUUCAACUGGCGAGAGGUAUAAGCAACAACUUUCUUCUCUUGCAUCAGUACUGCACCGAGACCUUGGAGAGAGGCAUCACAAAAGACCUCGUACGGCUUGGUUUCAUCAGGCGGAGUUAGAACUGGAGCAGUGAUCAAUUUCUCUUUCAAAGCGUUGAAAGCAACAUCACACUCCGGAGACCAAACGUACUUGACGUGCUUCUGAAGAAGAUUUGAGAGAGGCUUCGCGAUCUUGGAAAAGUUUUCAACGAAUCUUCGGCAGUAACUUGCAAGACCGAGGAAGCUACGGAGUUGCUUCACAUUCUGAGGAGGUUCCCAAUUAACGAUUGCAGACACCUUCUCAGGAUCCACGGAAAUGCCCUUGGCAGAGAUAAUAUGGCCAAGAUAAAGAACCUCAUCGAGCCAAAACUCACACUUGGAGAACUUGGCGUAGAAUUGAUGUUCCCUUAGCUUGUCAAGAACCAAACGCAAGUGUUUGGCAUGAUCUUCCUUGUUCUUCGAGAAAACCAGGAUGUCAUCGAGAUAGACCAAAACAAAGGCGUUGGUGUAGGGGUUGAAGAUGAAGUUCAUCAUGCGAGAGAACGUCGGAGGAGCAUUGGCGAGGCCAAAAGACAUAACAGUGUAUUCAUAUGACCCAUAGCUUGUUCUGAACGCCGUCUUUGGAAUAUCUUGCUCACGAAUGCGAAUUUGGUGAUAACCCAUACGGAGAUCAAGCUUGGAGAAUACUUGGGCACCCUUGAGUUGUUCAAACAGCUCAUUAAUGUUGGGAAGUGGGUAUUUGUUCUUGAUGGUCUUCUUGUUCAAUGGACGAUAAUCAACACAAAGUCGGUCCGUUCCAUCCUUCUUCUUCACAAAAAGAACACCACAACCCCACGGAGAAGUACUAGGCCGAAUGAGACCCAUUCUUUCUUGCACAUCGAGUUGUUUCUUCAACUCCUUCAACUCUUCGGGGCCGAGCUUGUAGGGACGUUUGCACACAGGUUCCGUACCGGGCUCAAGUUCAAUAACAAAUUCAACCGGCCGGUUUGGAGGCAUGCCUGGGAGUUCUUCAGGGAAGACAUCUUGAUACUCACAAACAACCGGAAUCUGUGAAAUAGCAUCCAAUUCACCCUUUUCAUUGAGAGAGAACAACCGGAUGGUAUUAUCCCGAGCAGCAAAGACAAUUACUUCCUCAGAUGAAUGAGUCAGUUGAAUCUGCUUGGCUGCACAAUUCAGCUGAGCUUUAUGUUUAGAGAGCCAGUCCAUCCCAAGAAUGAGAUCGAUAUCAGAAUUGCCAAGAACCAUUGGAGAAGCCAAGAACUUGAAAUCGCCCAACGUGAUGGAGACAUCUGGCACCUCCAGACUUGCACUCAAUCGUUUGCCAGGAGAAACAAUAUCCAUUUGUUUACCCAAAUGCGAAGAAACGAACUCAUGCUUGGUAAAAAAAUGGCUUUGACAUGCAACAAUGCGAUGCACCUGUGUCAAAAAGAACUCUUGCAGGAAUAGAAUUAACUGGAAAGUUACCCAUGAUCACAUCUGACGAAUCCUCUGCCUGAGCUGCAUUCACCAUAUUGACCUUGGCGUGCCUGGGAUUAUGCUUGACCACAGAUGUACUUGCCGAUCUGACAGGAGGAGGAGGAAGACGCCUCUGGUUGAAACACUUGUUGGCAUAGUGACCCUUCUGUUGGCACUUGUUGCAUGUGACCUCUGAGAGCGGACGGUGGUACGGAGCACUCGAUCUUGAAGCUUGAGACGAAGUCUUGUUCUGAAAGCCUGGGUUGGGUGGGUGGGAUGAACCACUGCCACCUUUGCUCUUCUGCCGAUACGGCUGACGGAACGGAGGAGGAGGAAGCCAAUACUUCUGCUGCUUGGCCACUUGAGUAGAGGAAGAAGGCGUAGUGUCUCUGACUCGCUUCCUGGAAGCAUCACACCUUAGCUGAGCAGCCUCUUACUUCAGUGCCAUGUUGUAGAACUCAUCGUAUCUCAGCGGCUCGAAGAGGACAAGAGCAAGCUGAAUUUCUUCACGAAGACCACCCCGGAACUGAUAGAUCAUGCUCUUCUCAUCAGGAACAUCCUGCUUGGCAAAACGGGCGAGCUUCUGGAACAACUUGUUGUAGUCAUAGACAGACAAAGAGCCUUGCUUCAGAUUGCGGAAUUCUUCACGUUUGCUUUUAGUCACACUUUGAGGAAUGUGAUGAGCUCGGAAAUCACGACGGAAAUCAUCCCAAGUGAUCAAACGUCCACCUCUGGAAUCCCGGUACUGCUGAAACCACUCUGCGGCCUGAUCCUUGAGCUGGAAAGACGCGAACUUGACGAAAUCUUCAGGUCUGACGUUGCUAUAUUCAAAAUGCUUACCCAGAUCGACUAACCAAUCAUCAGCAUCGGUAGCCUCAACGCAGUUGCUGAACGUCUUUGGACCAUUUGCGAGGAACUGAUUCAGAGUUGCAAAUUGGUUCUGGUUGUUGCCUUGAUUUCCUUGACUACUUUGAUUCCGCUCUUGGAUGAUUUGCAUGAUCAGCUGAGUAUUUGCAUUAGUAGCAGCCAUCACAGCUUGCCAUGCUUCCGGAGGAGGCGGAGGUGGCGGAGGAUCUUGAUUCUGGUUCUGACUGGUGCUCUUAGCGGGAGCCAUCCUGAAGAGGUUGACCACCAUUAGCACACAAAUAGAGAGAUAUUGAAGGUGAAACCAACGGAAUGAAAAUUGCAACAUAAAGUCUUCACAUCCGAACAAAAUGAACGAAUGCACUUCUCUUGAAGUGGUCACAUAUUCCUAAAUUGCGAAGCCACGAAGAAUCAGGUAGAAGAGGUACAUCAACGAGGGAUGGAAUCCACAUAUGACGUCGAAGCAGAACGAAUACCACAACUCGAAAUAAAACCAAGGGUUGGCUUGCGGAAUAAGCCGGAACAAACACAUGAUAGAAAUUUCGUCCGAAGUGUUCGUGGUAGGACCUACACGGGCUCGACCGUACAGCACCAUCAUGUACAAGGCAGUGCACAUGACAUACAAAGCGUCCCCGAGUCAGCAUAGCCAAGGACUCUUUAAGACACAACGAGGCCACUGUAAAAUCGACCGUGAAUAGGCGAACCACUAGACGUCGAACCCCAAUUUCAUAUCACACAUCUAUUGAAAGAAAUCCUAAGGCUACUUGAAUUCCCACCUAUGAAACUCCCGAAACUUUCCGAUUAUGCAAUCAGGUGUUGGGGAUAUAGGGGAAGCAUAAUAUCUCACCCAAGCUAGCAAAUCCUACAUCCAGCUGCAUCCAUCCUUCAACACAUAACCAAGAAACCUUCGGAAACCAUCUAUCUCAACCUUCGAAAAGCAUCCGUUAUACAAGUUAUGGCGAUACUCCCGAACUCCCGCCCCAGUACUGGGUGGCGUCGAGGUUAUCUCACCAACGAACUGCAUAAAGGAGAUUUUCGAUGUCGCGCACAUAUCUCAAGUAUACCAGAAUUGCAACGAUAGAAUUAUGAUGACAACACCUCAGAGCUCAACUCCCCGGGACACUUCCACUAAACCCCUGACAGGAGGCACCAAGACAGUAUUCUCAUCAUAAGCCAUCGGAACAAAACCAAGAUACUCGCGUGAUCCUAAAAUUUUUUUUAGUGAAAUUUGAGAAGAGAAGAGUCAAAACUCUACGUCAGGAUGCCUUACCAGAGCGAGGGGGAGACUGGGAAGUAAAAAGAAUUCCUAAGCUCUCCGAUAUAUAAUUCCUAAGGACUCAAAACAUUUUUCUAGACACAACUUGGCUGCUAAAAACGAUCAAGCAAUGGGGCUCCUAAGGUCGGGGAAGGCUCUGAUUACCAACUUGUAACGCCCUUGAUGCGGCUAUGUCUCCCACGUGUCGAGGCACGACUUAGAGACAUAGGCGCAUGGAAAGCAAUGUCGCAAGUCGGGAAUCAUUACACAACCCAAGUACAUAUAUAAUAUAAAGGGGAAAUAAUAAUAUAGUUGGCUUACACUCGCCACGUCACAUCAAAGUACAUAAAUAACAUCCAUCAUACAAUCACUCAUGGCCCGACUACGGCGCCAAAAUAGAAAAGACCCCCAACAAGCGACUAGGCCCUGAAUCUAACCCCGAAUAGGCACCACUACUGAUCAUCAGGAAACGACACAUAGUAACGCUGAGAGUCCUCGUCGUACUCCCACUUCAGCUCGAGCGCGCCAUCCGGAGAAGUAUCAUCAGUCCCUGCAUCUGGUGUAAUAGUAAUCUGUGAGCCACAAAGGACUCAGCAAUCUCACACCCUCGCGAUCAAGACUAUUUAAGCUUAAUAGGUAGGAAAGGGGUAAUGUAAGUGGAGCUGCAGCAAGCGACUAGCAUAUAUGGUGGCUAACUUAUUCGCAAAGUAGAGCGAGAAGAGGAGGCAAAGUACGAGCGGAAAACUAUAUAGAGCAGCCUACGCAAACAUAACUCCAACGCCGUGUCCACUUCCCGGACUCCGCCGAGAAGAGGCCAUCACGGCAACACACUCAGUUGAUUCAUUUUAAUUAUUUAGGGUUCAAGUUAUCUACAGCCGGACAUUAUCAAAUUCCCAUCUGCCCAUAACCGCGGGCACGGCUUUCGAAAGAUCAAUCCCUGCAGGGGGGUCCCAACUUAGCCCAUAACAAGCUCUCACGGUCAACGAAGGAAUAGACCUCCACCCAGGACCCACCGAUCAGACUCGGUAUCCCGGUAUAACAAGAUGAUUCGACAGGUCAAAACUAGUCCAGCAACACCGCCCGAAUGUGCCGACAAAUCCCGAUAGGAGCUGCACAUAUCUCUUUCUCAGGGCACGCUCGGAUAGGUCAAGCUACGAGUAAAACCAACCCUCGAGUUUCCCCGAGGUGGCCCCGCAGGCUGCCUGGUUCGGACCAACACUCAGAGGAGCACUGGCCCGUGGGGGGCUAAAAUAAAGAUGACCCUCGGGCUCCGGAAACCCAAGGGAAAAAAGAGGCUAGGUGGCAAAUGGUAAAACCAAUGUUGGGCAUUGCUGGAAAAGCUUUAAUCAAGCCGAACUAUCAAGGGGUUCCCAUUAUAGCCCAACCGCGUAAGGGACGCAACAAUCCGGGAACAUAACACCGAUAUGACGGAAACUAGGGCGGCAAGAGUGGAACAAAACAUUAGGCGAGAGGCAGAGCCUUCCACCCUUUACCAAGUAUAUAGAUGAAUAAAGAUAACAUAGCAAUAUAAUGAUAUCCCAACAAGUAAAUAAAUGUUCCAACAAGGAACGACUCCAAUCUUCACCUGCAACUAGCAACGCUAUAAGAAGGGGCUUGAGCAAAGCGGUGACAUAGCCAAUCAAUGGUUUGCUAGGACAAAGGUGGGUUAGAGGCUCAAUCAUGGCAAUUGGGAGGCUGACAAACAAGUGGUAGGCAUCGUAGCAUUGGCAAAGUAAAAGAGCGAGCAAACUAGCAUAGCAAAGAUAGUAGUGAUUUCAAGGGUGUGAUCAUCUUGCCUGCACAAUUGUCAGAAUUGACUGGAUCCUCAAAAGCAAACUCAACGGGCUCCUCGUUAGCGAACUCGUCUCCCGGCUCUACCCAACAACACAAACAAGCAACAAGGAUACAAUCAACCACGUGCGAGGGCAACCAAUAAUAUGCAAAGAUGAUAUGCUAUGCGGGAUGCGAUGCGGGAUGCAAAAAUGCAAGAUGUAACAGGAAAUGCAUGAACCUGGCCUCAACUUGGAAAACCAAGUGUGCCACUGGAUAGAGGGGAAGAAAUCCCCUGAAAACGAUAUAAAGAUCAUGGCAAUCGGAGCUACGGUUUAGAAAUGGCAAGCGUUUUACUAAACGAACUGAUCUGCGAUUUACGGCAAGUAGGCUCCUAAAUGCAAUAAAAUGAACAUGCUACAGCCACCCAACAUGAAAACAAAUUGCAUGGUAGUGAUGUACUUAAGAAGCUUAACAAAUCACCAGGACUGAGGCAUAGGCAAAUUCAUCCAUUAAGGGCUUCAAACAAGCAUGGCAAAACUGAAUAAGCAAAACAGAUUUCAGACUUAGCGAAAUUAACGCUAGUCUGAAAUUUCACACCACGAUGCUCUCUUCGGAGCAGCAAAACAACAUGAAGCAAAACCUGAACAUGGCAAGUAAGAGCAUGGCAUGGAGCUACUCAACAAGCUUAACAAAACACCCAAAAUGACCUGGGGCCAAAAGGGUUCACAAAAUACUCUACCGAGCACACGAACAUCGAUGAAACACAAACAGUUUUCAGACUUAGUGAAAACUGGGACAUGCUGAAAUAAUAACUCACGAAGGCAUGUAAACGAGCUCGAUGCACUCACUACGGUGCAAGUCAUGGCAAGGCAAGCAUAUAUCCAUUAAGAAGGCACAAAAUGCUAGCUAGACAUGGCAAGAACAAAGGCAUAGCAUGCAUGGAUCACUAGCAAUAACUCCGGCAAAAUCGCAAAAGAGUUCACGAUCUGCCCAAAACAACAACUAUGCAAAAGUUGAGCUCGAUUGAGUCAACCUAGGUUGCUCCAACAUAACAAGUAAAGACAUGGAUGGAUUAAGCAUAACAAAUCACUCUUACUGAUCAUCCUCAAAAGAGGCACGGAUCACUAGGAAACAAGCUGGACAUAUAGCAUCGUGAACUAAAACAUCCCAGACUUAGUGAUUAUCACUAAGUCCCUGAAAUCAGUAAACUCAGGUACCCCUCUUCGCAAGCUUGCACAAGACAACACACACAUCCUAAAAAUGCAAGGGAGGCAUCUCUGGAAAGAAGACAACAUGCUUAACAAUUCAUCCCAAAGGGGCACAAGCAUAUCAUGCACCGAUUAAACAUGGAAAAAAUGACAAAAGUGCAUGUUGAACUAACGGAUCUGCAAUUUAACUCAUGAUGCCUCCUUCCAACAGCAUUUUGGGCAACAAGGUGACCUCAAAUGCAAAUGAUGCAAUGGAAUGAAAUGAUGUACUCGUCGAGACGAAGAUUUUGAUAUAUCAUAUGCCCAAAUCGGAGCUACGGAUGCAAAGAUAUGGCAGGUCAAAGGUAGCAUAAAAAAUUACGGAAUUAGGGUUUCGGGGGAGAGGUCAACCGAUCCAGAUCUGGAAUCACUGUAGCAGACCGACACUGUUCAUCCGGCGCGCGCGACGAGGAUGGCCGGGAGGAGCUCGCCGGGGCUUGGAUCCAAGGCGGCCGGAGCGGUCUUGGCGGCGCACGCCGGCGCGGGAGGCGGCGACGGGACNNNNNNNNNNNNNNNNNNNNNNNNNNNNNNNNNNNNNNNNNNNNNNNNNNNNNNNNNNNNNNNNNNNNNNNNNNNNNNNNNNNNNNNNNNNNNNNNNNNNNNNNNNNNNNNNNNNNNNNNNNNNNNNNNNNNNNNNNNNNNNNNNNNNNNNNNNNNNNNNNNNNNNNNNNNNNNNNNNNNNNNNNNNNNNNNNNNNNNNNNNNNNNNNNNNNNNNNNNNNNNNNNNNNNNNNNNNNNNNNNNNNNNNNNNNNNNNNNNNNNNNNNNNNNNNNNNNNNNNNNNNNNNNNNNNNNNNNNNNNNNNNNNNNNNNNNNNNNNNNNNNNNNNNNNNNNNNNNNNNNNNNNNNNNNNNNNNNNNNNNNNNNNNNNNNNNNNNNNNNNNNNNNNNNNNNNNNNNNNNNNNNNNNNNNNNNNNNNNNNNNNNNNNNNNNNNNNNNNNNNNNNNNNNNNNNNNNNNNNNNNNNNNNNNNNGGCGGUGCCCACGUGGCAGGCGGCGGUUGGCCGAGGGGCGCGGCGGCGGACGCGUCCGGCUGGGGCGGACGUGUCCGUCGGUGCGGGGAGGUUUUUUUUUAGAGGAGGACGGGGAGGAAGACGAGAUCCGAAAUGGGGGGUGUUUAAAUAGGCAUAAGUGGAGCUAGGAGAGUCCAAAUGAGGUGCGGUUUUUGCCCACACAAUUGUGAUCGAACGACCGAGACGAUGGAGCAGAGUUUGGUGGGUUUUGGGCCAAAAUGGAGGGGUGUUGGGCUGCACACACACGAGGCCUUUUGGGUCCUCGGUUAACCGUUGGAGCAUCAAACGAAGUCCAAAUGACCCGAAACUUGACAGGCGGUCUACCGGUAGUAAACCAAGGCCGCAUGGCAAGUCUCGGUCCAAUCCGGAAAUGUUUAAUCCCCACACACGAAAGAAGCUAGAAAUGGCCACCGGAGGAGAACGAAGCGCCGGAAUGCAAAACGGACAACGGGGAAAAUGCUCGAAUGCAUGAGAUGAACAUGUAUGCAAAUGCAAUGCACGUGAUGACAUGAUAUGAGAUGCACGAAAACAAAAACAACACACGGAGACAAAGACCCGAACCCGAGAAUUAAAUAUAACUUAAUGCCGGAAACGGCAAGAGUUGGAGUACAAUUCGGGAAGGUUACAUAUGGGGCGUUGCAUGUUGCAAGGGUUGAGGAGAGUAAAAGGGUUCCACGGCAUUGUACUGGGGAACUUGAGUACGAGCCGGGGAAGCAAGAGGUUCCCUCGAGUCAUCCGCAUCAUGAACCUCAUUUGGGUUAAACGAGUUUGAUGCGGACGUUGAUGGCUUUAGGCGAGCAUCAAUUUCCUCUUUGACCAAUGCACGGACCUCUUUCAACAUAGAGACUUUGAGGUCCGCAAACAUUGAAAGAAGAUCGGCCGUGGUCAAGGGGACAUUCGGGUUAGUAGUAGUGGCAGGAGCAACGACUGGAGCACCAAGUGUCUCAGUCGCGGCGGGGGGUUGGUUUUGACCAUCCCCCGUAACAGGUAGGCCACCUCCUUCAUUCCCUAGAUCGACCAUAUCCUCUAAGGUUGUAAAACCUUAUAUUAGAGCACGAGGCUCUGAUACCAAUUGAAAGGACCGAUACAGUCGACUAGAGGGGGGGGGUUGAAUAGGAGACUACAAAUUUUAAUCUUUCUUGUAGAUUUUAAGGCUUAGCGGAUAAAAGAGUUCACUAGAUAUGCAACUAGGUGAAUGCAACCUAUAUGACAAGCAAGCUCCAAGAAGAAAAGCUAGGCAACAAACUACUUAGCAAGCCAACAAGCAUAAAACAACUAAGAAAUGUGCGGGAAAGGAUUAACCACAAGUGAGACGAGGACGCGGAUUUUAACCCGAAGUUCACUCUUCCUUGGGGAAGAGCUAAUCUCCAUUUGGAGCGGUGCCGGAGCCAAAGCUUGCGGAAUGCCACCAAAGGCUCACCGUAUUCUCCUUCGAGUCACCCCCAAUGGAUGAGCCUCGAACCACUCGGGGUUGGUCUUGAAGGCGACCACCACACCUUUACAAACUUCUUCGGAGCACACCACAAGCAAGGAAGCUUCCGGAGGAACCUCUAACCGCCUAGGAGCCCAAGCUCCAAGAGUAACAGGUCAAUGGGGAAGAAAUGUUGCGGGGAACGCGAUUUGGUUUGGUCAAGUUGUAGAUCGGGUCUUGCUCUCCCAAUCCCAAAGUUUCCACAAGUUUGGGUGGAGGGAUUGAGAGUAUUGAGCAAAAUGGGGUGUAGCAAUGGUGGAGCUCAACAAGACAUUAGGGUUCGGGGUUGGAGGAGGAAGAAAGGCCUUUUUAUAGUGUUCAUGUGAGGGUGGGGAUUUCUGCCUGUUGGACCCCGUGCGCAUGGGCUAAGUCAGCCCUGUGCGCACGGGGUAUCCAGAGAGUUACCCAAUACCCCGUGCGCACGGGGGUCAAAAGACCCCGUGCGCACGGGGUACCCAGAGAGUUACCCAGUACCCCGUGCGCACGGGGGUCAAAAGACCCCGUGCGCACGGGGUACCCAGUAACUUACUGUUGCAACUUUCUGAGUAUCACAACACACACACUAGGUUCAUAUGAGGUGGUUGGAGUGGGAAGGGUAAGAGAGUAAGGCUCGGCAAAGGCAUUUCCACACAACAUUUAUCCACACAGACCCCUCUUAAUAGUGCGGUCUUUCCUAUGACUCGAAGCAAACCAAAACUGAACCUUCGAAGCGUCGAAAGACCACGCCUUUGUCCUUUUUGAAAUGGGGGGUCACACUUCUCCAUUGCGGGCACUUAGAACCAAUAAUCUGAGAUAAACUUUAGCAACCGAUAUUAAUUCAACUAACCACAUUGUCAUCACACCAAAAUAUAGCUUAAGUGCCAUUAGCACUUUCACACCAUAUGUCGUCGGAGUUGUAACUCCGAUUUGAUGGUUUCUCCUUUUUUUAAGAAAAUUCCUGGGUCGAUUUGGUUCCGUCGAGGUUCUUUUUUUUUCUAUUUCCAUAUAGUGGAAAGGCCUUCUCAUUGCAAGGAUAUAUCUACUGCUCCUUGGAUUCACAUGAUGCAAUGCUCCGAGGGCACCAAGGCCGUUAGUUAUAUUUUUCAUCCAAUGUUCACAGUGAUAGCACCCACCAACUUGUAGAAUACACCCAUAAUUGAGUAUAUCAUAUGACACGGGAAGAGGGGUGGGGAUUUAGAGGUAUGGUCGGCUCGUUGGAGGAGACGACUCGGACAUGAUAGGUGAUGAGUUAGUGACCCCAACCACCAGUGUGGAUGCGUUUGGGCGGCGAAGACGGAUGGAUCGAUAGGAAUGUAGGGUAGUAGGGGUGACUAACUGAAAGAAGAAGAAGAAGAAAAUCUAAUUGAUCCCUUUUAUCUUAAACUCUAGGCAUAGAAGAACGCGGUGGAUUUUACAUUGUCAUUAGUUAUGUGGUAAAUUUAUUUUUAUGGUCUGCCAUAAAAAUUCAAUCGGUCAUAAAAAGUGAGCUUUCAUCGGGCAAAAUUAAAUUCUUCUACUAUUAAUCCUUCUAGAGGCCAACCCCCAAAAGUAGCGUGCGGCCUUAAUUUAGGCCUUAUUUGUUCUACAAGAUUUUAAAAACUCAACAAUACAAAAACAUAGGAAUAUGAUAGAAAUGCACGCGCAAAUCUGAGGAAUGAUUAACACAAGAAUUCUGUCAAGUUGGGUGUUCUGUUCACAGUAAUUGAAAAAACACAGGAAUCCGAAUUAACAUGAUUAAAUAAAGUCAAAUUACACUGUCUCGACGAAUGUGAAGUCUACGAGUAUCGCCAUGUGGAAUCCGAGGGUCUUCCCAAAUUCUCACACUGUCUCCAAAACCAAUCCUCCAUACCACUCCUACUUUUAGCAACUCUAUACAUCUAAGAAUACAUUGCCAUGAGUAGGACAUUUGGCCCUCCGCGUUGUUGAUAGGAAGUACAUGGGAGAAAGAGCGGUGGACGCAAGGGUGGCAGAGAACCUCAUGGUGGUUGAAGUAGAAGAGACAAUAUGGUAUGUGGGGCGGAUGACGAGAGGGUGGGCUAUGUCAGUUGCUCAUGCACAAUUUUUUUCUAUGAAUUACUUUUUAUUAUGUGGCAACAUGCGGGCAUUCAACUAGUACAUGAUAGUGACAUUGUUUUAAGAAAACAUUGAUUCCCCAUAUAUUUAUUUAUAUGUGCAUAUUGAUCUACGUUGCCUCUCUGCAAAUAGGCUAUGAAUCCCUCUUGUGCAACCACGUCAGAGUGCUUCAUAACCUGUUUUGCCCUAUAAUUUCUCUCUCCAAUUUCAAUAUUUAGGGCUAUGCACUUCAUGUUGUAAGAUGUUACUGGGCUAAAUGGAAAUUUAGAGCUUCAUGCACCUUUCCCUAUUGAAAAAAUGACCAUCAGCAGGAUGAGGAUGAAGCGUCACACUCGCUGCGCACCAUGGAUAAAAACUGUAUCUACUGUCUACAUUUUAUGAAGAGUAUCGAUGUACUAGUGUUGCACGUGUACAAUGAAUCAAUUUUUUUUCCAAGAACCAUUUUUACCAAAAAAAAAA
rnacentral:lncRNA from 1 species